CAUUCAUCAUAUAGUUCUUUCAUGGACGUUCUUACCUCAGAUUCUCGGACAUGUUUCAGCAUUUCCAGGCGGUGAUUUGAGAGAACCUCCAGUGUGGCAAUCUUGCGGAUUUGGCGCCAGUAAGGACCGUAAGGGCUGAAGCCAAACAUGGCGUAGUUGUAGCCCAAGAUCUCUGGUGCUAGAGCUUUUAUGCGGUUGGAAAAAACUUUAUCAUUUGUAGUGAAGCACUCUUUAGCAAUCUCCCAGUUGCUAACAAUCAAAGCUCUAUGCAUACCCAGCUUGAUCAUGAAGAUCGGACCGCACUUUUCGGCGAUGUUGCCCAAGGUGACAUAAGCUGGUUUUUGGCCCCCUAACAGGUGGAGGUGACCAAUCAAAGGCCAUGCACCACCAGGCUCCGGCACCGGUUUCUUGUCGAUUGAGUUUCUGUGCCGUCUUGAUAACCAUAGUAGAGAGUAAACAAGCAAAAACAAAGUGAAAAAGCCAGUAAUAAAAACAGUUGGUGUGAAAGGAACAUGAGUACCGUCCAUUAACCAAACUUUCUCCGAGGUUCCAAGUGGUAGAAGGAAAGUUGGAUCAAAUAAAUACAUGAGCUGUAAACCCGAUUCAAGGAUAAUUAUAUCGGUGUCUCUGGGAUAGUAAACAUAACCUGCUGUACCGUACAUCCGCCUUGGCCGUACAGCAGAUAUAUAAAGAUAUAAUAUAAUAUUACAUUAUUUAAUUAUAUUACAACAAUUAAUACAUAAAAUUAAUUAUUUUUAGAUACAAAUGAGGGAUUGUAUCUCCUAAAAUCUAGUAUUUAAGUCAACACAUAGCUGUAAAAUACAACUGACAUCUACAACAAUAGUCAACACACAACUGUAAAAUAUAACUGACAUCUGAAACACUCCCCCUCAAGCUGGAGCAUAGAUGUUCUUCAUGCCCAGCUUGCAUACAAACUCUUCAAACUUGUGUCCAUGUAUUCCUUUUGUCAACAUAUCUGCAGUUUGUUGUCCUGUAGGAAUAUACACCAAACAGAUAACUCUAGUUUCCUAUUUCUCUUUAAUAAAAUGUCGGUCUACCUCCAUAUGUUUUGUCCUGUCAUGAUGGACAAGAUUAUGAGCAAUAUUAAUUACUGCCUUAUUUUCACAGUAAAGUUGCAAAGGACUGUUUUUUAUUAACUGUAGUUCUUUGAGAACACGUUCUAUCCACAGAAGCUCACAUACCACAUGUGCUAGUGCUCGAAACUCUUCUUCUGCACUGCUUCGUGCCACUACAGUUUGCUUCUUACUUCUCCAAGUUACAAGGUUUCCCCACACCUUAGUACAAUAACCUGUUGUAGACUUCUUAUCCAUGACGUUUCCAGCCCAAUCUGCAUCAACAAAAGCUUCUAUAUUCUUUUUUUCUCCCUUCUCAAAAUAAAUUCCCUUUUCCGGUGUUGACUUCAGGUAUUAAAGUAUUCGGUUUACUACCACUAAGUGAGCUUCUCUUGGAGAGUGCAUAAACUGGCUCACUAAGCUAACCGUAAAAGCAAUAUCAGGUCUAGUAUGGGAAAGAUAAAUUAAUCUCCCUACUAGUCUUUGAUAUCUCCCCCUCUCCACGGGUGCACUAUUUUCUUCAAGACCCAACUUGCUAUUUGGUUCAACUGGUGUGGCAGCAGGUUUACAGUCAAUCAUACCAUUAUCCUUUAGCAAAUCUAGGGUGUAUUUCCGCUGUGUAACUAGAAUACCUUAGGCUGUUCUAGCUACCUCCAUUCCUAAAAAAUAACGUAGUGGUCCAAGAUCCUUGAUUUCAAACUCACAAGCUAAUUUUGCUUUUAAUCCUUCCAGCUCUUCUUUGUCAUCUCCUGUUAGUAUAAUGUCGUCAACAUACACGAUCAAAAUAGCUAACUUCCCUUCUUUAGACCAUUUGUAGAACAUAGUGUGAUCAGUUUUCCCUUGAGAAUAACCGUAAUUCUUCAAGACUUUUCCAAACCGGUCAAACCAAGCCCUAGGGGACUGUUUAAGGCCAUAGAGAGACCUUUUUAACCGAAAAACUCUUCUAGCAGGUCCUUUUUCUUCAAAACCAGGCGACAUAUCCAUGUAAACCUCCUCUUCCAAUUCUCCAUUCAAGAAUGCAUUCUUGAUAUCAAGCUGGUUGAGAGGCCAAUCUAAAUUUGCAGCAAGAGAGAGAAUGAUCCUUACAGUAUUAAGCUUUGCCACUGGGGCAAAAGUCUCUAGAUAGUCCACCCCAUAGGUUUGUGUGAAACCCUUCGCCACGAGUCUUGCUUUGUACCUGUCCACACUUCCAUCAGCCUUAUAUUUGACUGUAAAUACCCACUUGCACCCCACAGUCCUCUUGUCUUUAGGUCUUGGUACAAGCUUCCAUGUGUUAUUCUUUAUUAAGGCUGUCAUUUCUUCUUGAACAGCUUUCUUCCACUCAUUUGACUCUAGGGCUUCAUGGAUGUUUCUUGGAAUAGUGGUAUUAGAUAGAUUAGCCACAAAAUUCCUAUACUCCUUAGAUAGAUUUGCAUAUUGUUAGCCUAAAGGGCUACACAUAUUGUAAUUUUGAUGAUAACAAACAUGUGUCUUAAGUAAAUUUAAUAAAUAUUGUAUUUCACAUUUUCACUAGUUUUUGAAGGAUAAUAUUUAUGCAAGUGAAUCAAGUGAAAUCAAGCUCAAGACACUCAACGGACAACGGCGAAAUCAAGAAUAAAUUUUAAAGCUCAACGGAUAAAUUAUUGCUAUAAAUUCUUGUAAAGCCGGUAUGAUUUAAUUGAUGCAUGAUUUAACAUUUGAGAAACUCAAGAGAUUAAUUUAAUUAAUUACUUUCAUAAACUAAAAGGUUUUAUUUUUUAUAAGAUAAAAUAUUUUGUGGUUUUGAGUAUUUUGGACUUAAAUGGAAAGUUUUGCAAUCCUUGUUCUUUUAAUAAGUAUUAUCUAGAAUUCCGGAGUUGGACCUUUUUGCAAAUAUGUGAAAUGUUUUAGGCCAUACUAUAAUUUGUGAACAUUUUUGGACUAAAGUGCAAAGUUGUGAGAACUUUGAAAAAUAUGAGUAUUAUGUUAAAUUUUGAAAAAAUACCUCUUUGACAAAUAAUAAUAUAUUUGGGGCCAUAGCAUAAUUUCAAAAAGUUUUGGAAAGAUAAUUAUUAUUAAGAAAUUCUGAAAUUGAACUUAUUUGUAAAUUUUUAUGACGUUUUGGGCCAUAACAUAAUUAUAAAAAGUUUUGGGCUAAAGUGUAAUUUUAGUGAACAGUGUUUAUGUAGCAAAAUUCAAAAAUAACGGUAAUAUCACUGUUACAAGCGGCUAGCCGGAUAAAUCAAGCUGCUAACCGCUUGGGCGUUGGAAUUUGGCUGUAACGGCUAGUUUUCGGGCUUUAACUAUAAAAACUCAACUCCAACUUCAUUUUAAGAACUAAUGCAAGCAUAAAUAAGAUCAUAUAACAUAUAUUGAGCUUCCAUUUUGCAAAUCAUCAUUUAUUGAAUCAUUAUUGAGUUAUAAUUUGUUAUCCACUCUUAAAGAGAGUUUCAUUGUUGUGAUUUUCAGUUCUCAUCAAAUUGUGAGUGUACAAGUGUGAGAAACACUUGGAGUGAAGAGAUUGAGGAUAUAAUCUUUUGUUGUAAAGGUCCAUUGACAUCUUGAAAGUCAUUUGUAAACAUUUAAAGCCUUGGGAGGCUUGGAUAGUGAAAUCAUCAAGCCGGGUGAGCUUGGAGGCGUGGACGUAGGCAGGGAUAGCCGAACCACGUAAAAAUCCUUGUGUUUGUUUUCUCUUCCCUUACUCUUUUAAUAUUGUGCUUGAUUGAAUUUAUUGUUUUUUAUUUGAUUAAGGCAAUAGAUUAAAUUGUUGUGCGAAUUGUAUUACAUAAAUUUUAAAAUCUCAAUUCACCCCCCCCCCUCUUGAGUUGCAUAACUUGCAUUUCACAUAUGACAAGAACUUGUAGAUAGGAUGUUUGGUGCAAUUUCUUACCCUUUUCCUUAUCGCAAUAGGCAAAUUUGUGGACUUCUGAGGUUCGUUCUCAGCAUAUUCAGUAGGUGGGUUUUUAUCCUCCCUUAGUUCAGAUCUUGGUUCUGCUUGGUCUAUAAGUGGUUGUACCUCUUGAGUUUUAUUCUUCCUUCGUGAAUAGACAUGAAACUCGCCUAUAGGUUCCUCCAAAUGUGAAUUGGCUUUUAUCUCUUCAUUCCUUGGUGCCACUAUUGGUUGAUUAAGUUCUAUGGUGUUAGGUAGGUUAGGAUGAAUGUCUGGACUGAGGAAGGAGGUAUUUGGUAGAUUGAGUUCUAGGCUGGAAUUACUGGACAUAUUGGGUUCUAGGCUGGAACUGCUGGACAUAUUGGGUUCUAGGCUAGAAUUACAAGGCAUCUUAGGUUCUAAAAUGUCAAGAAGAUCCCAAGAAUUAUCUUUUCUCAAAUUCUGCCCCUGAAGAGAAUUACUCGUGUAAAAUGGCUAAUUUUCAAAGAACUUGACAUCCAUUGCGACGAAUAAUUUUUUGGUAAGAGGAUUAUAUCACUUGUACCCUUUCUUGGUAGGAGAAUAUCCUAAAAAUAGGCACUUGAUGGCUCUAAGAGACAGCUUUGUUCUUUGAAGACUCAGAAGAUAUACAAAUGAUGUACAACCAAAAGUUUUGAGUCCAAGAUUAGAGGUAACAAGGUGAUUUUGUGGGUAGCUGUCAAGAAAAACAUAAAUAGGUGUCUUGAAUUUAAGAACUCGAGAGGGCAUACGAUUUAUGAGAUAAGAUGCUGUAAGAAUGGCCUCUCUCCAAUAUAUUUUUGGUACAUUUGCUGUGAACAUAAUGGCCCUAGCAACCUCUAAAAGGUGUCUGUUUUUACAUUCCGCAACCCUAUUUUGUUGUGGUGUUCCAGAACAAGAACUUUGGUGGACAAUUCCUUGUUGUGAUAGGUAAUUCCCUAAAAUAGAAUUGAAAUACUCAGUUCCAUUAUAUGUACGAAGUACACGAAUGUCAGUUUGAAACUGAGUUUUUACCAUGGCAUGGAACUGUUUAAAAGUUUGUCCAGCUUCAUAUUUUUCCUUCAAAAAGUACACCCAAGUGGUCCUAGAGUGGUCAUCUAUGAAUGUAAUGAAACAUUUUGUUUUUGACAGGUUGUUAACCCUUGAGGGGCCCCAAAUAUCACUAUGAAUCAAAGAGAAAGGUUGGGAUGGUUUAUAAGUACGGGCAGGAAAUGGAACACGUGUUUGUUUAGCCAUUUGACAAAAAUCACAAUAUAAUAAACUCAGAUUUUUAUUUUUAAAUAAGGAAGGAAACAGGGUUUUUAGGUAUGGAAAGCUAGGGUGGCCUAACCUAUAGUGCCACAACAUUAUUUCAGAAGAAACAAAUUCACAUUGAGAGACCUGAGCAUGUCCUUUCACGGGUCCUUUAUUCUCGAGAUACUACAGCCCCUCAUAUUCUUUCGCAUUCCCAAUCAUCCUCCCCAAGAUUGGAUCCUGAAAUAGAUAUUUAGAACCACAGAAUUUAGCUACACAGUUUGUGUCUUUGGUAAGUUUACUAACUGAAAGAAGAUUACAUUUAAGAUUUGGGACAUGUAAAACUGAAAAAAGAGUCAAACAAUUUGAUAGUUUUACUGUUCCUUUUCCAGCAACAGUGGAUAAUGAUCCAUCAACAAUCCUCACUUUAUAAUUACCUGGACAUGGAGUGUAACUAGAGAAAAAUUGAGAAUACCAUGUCAUGUGGUCUGAGACCCCUGAAUCAACUAUCCAAGGACCUUUUUCAAAGGAUUGGAUGCUAAGGGCUGAUGGGUUACCUGUAUGGACUGCAUUACAACUAGAGGAGGUCAAGUAAUUUCUUUUUGCUUGUUGAUUUUGUAUGAGAAGCUGUUGCAGCAUCUUAAAUUGAUCUUUUGCGAGAGCAAACUGAUUAGUUUUCUCUGUCACCAUUCCUUUUGCUUCCUACUGACGUUUUGGUUUCCAAUCUGCUGGCUUUCCAUGAAGCCUCCAGCAUGAGUCUCGAGUAUGUCCUUUCCUAUGACAAUAGUCACAAUAGGGACGUUCUCCAUGUUUUUGUCCCUUUUGGUUAGCUGACUGAUCUGUCUUUUUGGUCACCAACGCUAAUCUCUCUAUCUCAGGUUCCUUCACGAGUCCCAUCAUGACUCUCUUUUGACUUUCUUCACGCCUCACCUUAGCAAAAGCUUCUCGGAUGGAGGGUAGAGGAUUCUUUCCCAAUAUUCUGCAAACUCAAGAACUUCAUCAAGUUCUUUGUUGAGUCCAUAAAGGAAAUCAAAGAGGCGUUCUCUAUCCAACAUCCUCUUAUAUUUGAUGUCAUCCUCAGAGCAAUGCCACUGCGAUUCAUAGUAAAGGUCAAGUUCAUGCCAUAUAUUGUUUAGAGAAUUGAAAUAUUGAGUCACUGAAAGACUCCCUUGCUUUUGGUCACGUAAUUGUGACUUGAUUUCAAAGAGCUGAGCCGCAUUCCCAAGGUUAGAGUAGGUUUCUGUCACGGCUUCCCAAAGCUCCUUCGCAGAUGGUAGGAAGAGAUAAGUCCUACCAAUAUCCACGUCCAUCGAGUUGAUCAACCAAGCUUGCACCAUUGAAUUUUCAGCAUCCCACUGUGGAUAACCAGGAUCCAAGACAUCAAGGGCUUUGGUUUCCCCUGUAAUAUACCCUAAUCAGCCUUUGCCACGAAGAAAUAGGGUGACAGAUUGAGACCAUUGCAAAAAGUUUCUGCCAUUUAACUUGUGCAAUGUUAUUUGCAAAGAGGGGUUUUCGGUACCUAAGGAGACCAAAGAGUUGUCCUGCCUUGUUACAGAACUGGAGGAAAUCUCAGAUCCUUGUGUAGGGUUUGUUGUCCUCUCCAGUGGAAGGCUUGAGACUUUAGAAUGGAAGAGGAGAAAAAUUCAGAGGCUAAGUUCAAAAGAGCUGCCCUGAUACCAUGUGAAAAUCAGAUUUCUUCUGUUUUUACUCUCUAUUUUCUCAUCUUAUACAAUAGAGAAGAAUACCUAUUUAUAUACAUUACACCCUAGGAACAAAAUGGUAAAAACAGCUAAGAUAUUGCAAAUCAGUAUCCCUUAAAAUUAGGGAUUGUAUCUCCUAAAAUCUAGUAUUUAAGUCAACACAUAGUUGUAAAAUAGAGCUGACAUCUACAACAAUAGUCAACACACAGCUAUAAAAUACAGCUAACAUCUACAACAGAAAUAAACUUGGCAUGAUUAUUGUUGUAAGUCUCACUAGCAAAAGCAGUCUUAUCGAAGCCAGCGCUAUCAAGAAUUGUAAUCACUGAAAGCUCAGGUUGUCCCUCUAUCAAUACAUCUAACAAUUGCUCCAUGUCCCUCUAUCAAUACAUCUAACAACUGCUCCAUGUCCCUCUUCUGAACAAGAAAAAUACGAAGAAGAAGAAGAAGAAUCACUUGCUUCUGUUUGAAUCUCCUGCUUUAAUUCACUAACAUCUUCGCGGUUGGGGGGAAGUCGUUGUACCGGAUUUCUUAUAUCGAUGAUCUUAUUUUGGAUUCUUAUAAGAGCAUCGGAAAACUCCUUAGAAGUAGUAGCACUGCUUUCACUAUUGGUUGUAGUGACUGUCUCAAUGGCUCUCCCAGAUUCAUGGAAAAAGUAAUUGAUCUCCUUCAGAACGCCUAAAAAACCUUCUCUAUCGACAUGAUCUUCAUUGAUCAUUUGAAACAUAAGCCAAGCUAUGUCACCUUCAUAGUGCUACGGGAAAGAAAUUAUAGUAAUAAUCUCGAAUAGGAUGUUUAGAAUACGCGGCUUUAAAUUUGUUGAAUCCGGCAAUAUUCCUUCUUCACCUGCUAAUAGCCUUUUCAACCUCUCAGAAAAUAGUCGAAGGUUGGUGUCCAUAGCUUCUUCUCUCGGUAUUCUAGUAUUAUAAUUAGAGCAUUACUAAUUAUUCUUCACGAAAUGAUAGCACAAACAUUAAUGUGAAUACAUGAUUAUUAAAUCAAGUCCUAGGGGCGGAUUCAGAAACUUAAUUCAUUGGGACAAAAUUAUAAUAAAAUUAAUAAAUUAUAAAAUUUACCCCAAUAUUAAAAGUUCUUUAUAAACUUGCCUCCAUUGAAACAAAAUUGGAUAGAUGCUCGUUUAUCCUCUAUAUUUUGCAUUAAGUAUCUCUCAAUCUUUAUAUUUUAAAAAAUGUCUUAAGAUACUCUGCUAUUAAAUAUAUUAUACUUUUGUCCUUACUUUUUUUUUUAACUUUUAUAAAAAUAUCCUUACAAUAAUCUUAAGGAUAUUAAUUUAAAAUAACACAAAAAAAAGUACUAAAGAUACAAAGGACAAAAAGAAAAUUGUAUUAUGGUAAAUAUUAUUUUGUCCUAUAAACUUUUUUCUUUUUUGUAGAGAUAGUGUGUUAUUUUUUAUACACAUACCACGAUUGCUUCUAUACCAUUGAAAAAUAAAUAUAGCCUUUUCACGUGCAAAUUAUUCAAGAACUCUACAAAUUCUACAGGAUUUUGCAGCCAAAACGAAUUCUAAAAUUCAUAAAACUUAUGUCAUAUAAAGACAAAGUGUCUAGUACUGUAACUAAUUAAUUACGAAAUUUCUAAGCACUCAAUAGAUCAUUAAAAUCAUCAUUGUAGCUACGAUUUUCUUCCUAACGUUUCUCCAAUUCUAGAUAGUAGAUCUCUUUAUUAAAUGGUCAAAAAUUAGAAAAGCGGCUAAAUCAAAAACUGAAUUAUGAAACUCAUUAUGUAAUAAUCUAAACUUAACUUCUAAUUUUGUAAUAAAAUAGAUUACAAAUGAACAUAAAAAAUGAUCAAACUAUAAGUAUAAUUUAUUUAGAAGAAAAUCAAAAUAAUUAAUAAGAAAUUAAUCACUUACCAAAGUCAAGAAGUGCAAGAGAACAAACGCAAGUUAUUAUUCCCAGUGCGUCGAACUUAUGAUAAUCACAAUGAUCACUCAGAUUAAUAAAUUGGAAUCACAACUUUAGAUCUAGAAGUCAUGCUAAGUGUGUCUGCCAUUAGUCCUUUCAUGAAAAUGUUUAUACUCAUGAUUAAUUUGCAGCUAGGACUUUGUAAUUAUCCGAAUUGAAGUUUCAACUAAUUAUCUUGACUUUGGUCAGUGAUUUCUUUUAAAAUUAUUUUGAGUCUUUUUCUUUAAAUAAAGCAUGACGUUGGAUCACUAUUGACGUUAACUUGUGAACUACUUUAGUUGAUCCCCUCAAUAUUAGAAACUAUAUUAUAUUGGAAAUAAUUAAGAGUGUUAAAAUUAUGAAAUUUCGUAAAAUUUCAUAAUUUUUCAUGGUGUCAUUUAAGGUUUCUACUUGUAAAGGCAAUAGAUUUCUGCAGAGCUAGCUGGUCUUUAUGUGAUUGGAAAAAUCUAAGUUCUGUUAUACAAUCAACAUACUUAGUAUCAUCUGCCCAAAGUUUUACCAUAAUCACAAGUAGAGGUGACAAUUUGGGUUAGCAGGUUGUGUUCAUAUCAUAGCCUCCUCUUGCCAUUAAAUUUGAACUAGUUUAAAUCUGACCCAUUUAUUAAUUGUGUAAGGAAUUUAAAAUCCUAACCUAGACUCAUUUAUUGUCCUAUCUGAGUCGUUUAACCCAUUUAACAAAAUUUUAAUAUUUUAUUCAGAAAAUAUCACAUUGUUAACGUGUUUUUAUUUCAUAGCAUAUACAUAUUAUUAGAUUACAACCCGUAGCGAAGCUAGCAAAGGCCUUUUUCUGGGCUACAGCUCUGUAAGGUCCCUGCAAAAUUUCUUCUAAAUCCCUCUAUUUUUAGUUUAUGAAAAUAUAAUUACAGAAAUUACGGCUUUCUUCCAUCUGAUUUUUACUUGAGAUCUAAAAAUUAUGUAUAUAAUUUGAGUAGUUAUUAAAAGUUUGUUCAAGCAAUUAAGUUUGAGCAGUUCGCAUAGGCUUUUAUAUAUUCUAAGGGUUAAAAAAUUUAGGUAGCUUAGCCAAUAUAUCUGGAGUACAACGACUAGGGUGCAAGGAUGUUAUAAAAAUGAGAUUUCUCAGAAAGCUGCAAUAUUUUCUUAGAGGUGCAGGUAGAGUGAUGGAAUCAAAGUUUAGAUGCAUGAGUUUUGCAUCAUCCAAGUAUUCUGGUGACUGUUUAUAAGGGUGCAUAAUGAUGAAGGAAGGCUUUUGAGGGAAAGGAAUUGAAUUCAUGAGCUUCAAAUAUUUCAUAGAGAAUAAUUUUUUUCAUUCUAGAUGGACAUCAGUCGAGAAUCGAAAACUAGAUAACCUAAGGUCAUGUUUGUUUUGAAGAAAGGGGGAGGAGAGGAAAAGACUGGAAUGAAGGAGAAGGGAGAAGAAAGGAGUGGAGAAGAAUAGUGAAAUUGAAUUUUAUUAUUUGGUUUGACAUAAAAUUUGAUAGAGAAAGGGAUUAUAAUUUUUUUCUUUGGACAAAUUUAUCAUUUGCCUUAAAUGCUAAACUAUCUAUAUUAGUAAUAAAAUAUAAUUUAAUAUCAAUACCAAAAAUUUUUACCGUACGGUUUUAAAAUAUUAUGAAAUUAACACUUUAAAACCCUGUUUUCUUUUAUUUUCCCGCACUUUAAAAUUCUGGAUUGAAAAAUUUAUACACACACACACACACAUAUAUAUAUAAACGGCAGUCCAACGAAGUUCCAAAGGCAUUCCCACGACGAUCGAUGGAAUUCUGACGGCUUCCGACAAUAGUCUGAUAGUGAUCCAAUAGAACUCCGGCGACUUACGACGAUGGUCAAAUGGUAGUCUAGCAGAGUUCUGGCGACAGUCCGGCAGAGUUCCGGCUAUGGAUAAUUUAUAUUUCUAUAUUUUUAUAUUAAAUAAAUAAAUACCCCGAUGGAGGUCCCGUGAAGGUUCGGCGAAAGUCUGGCAAUAGUUAAUUUAUAUUUCUAUAUUUUCAUAUUAAAUAAAUAAGUUUAUUAUUUUGUUAAGUUUCUUAAAUCAUUCAUUAAAUUUAAUUAUUAUAAAUUUUUUUAUAAUAUUAAAUUGAUAAAAUAAAAUUAUAAAUAAUAAUUAUUAAUGGCAUUAAACAAGCUUGAAGGGUAAUUUUGGAAGGUUCAAUUUUCAACAUAAGAGGAAUUUGAAUUCUUCAUUCCUUGGUGUGAGAUUCAAAUUAUACAUUACGAUAGAUAUUAAAUUCUAAUGAAAAUUAAAUUUUUAUAUAUUUUAUCCAACCAAACAAUGGAAAUAAAAAUAAAAUUUAAGUUACUUUCCUUUCCUCCAUUCUCUCGUUCUAACCAAACAUCACCUAAGUUCAAUUUGAACUUUUUUUUACAAAUUUUUUCGGAAAAUAUGUGAUGGCAGGAUUAUUGCUUUCUCAGUUGAAGAUACGCAAAGAAUGGAGGUAUGUGUCAAAAUGCUUUAAAAAUUUUACUUCUUCAAUCGAAUUUCAAAAAUUUACUUUGUUAAUCAAAGAACUAGAGAACCUACAUAAUAUAUACCUUGGGGAAUUUGAACUUUUAAAUAAGCUUUCUGUUCAGAAAUUCAUUAAUCAAUUUACUUCCUAAUUAACAUGUCUAUAAAAUUCUAGAUCCUUUGGUCAAUAAUUUUAAAAAUUAAAAGGAUCAAAUCUCCUGCUUUUAUGUUAACAAAAGCUCAAAAGAAUUAUAAGUGAAAUUACUUACCAAAGUCAAAAGGUGCAUGCAGAGAAACUAAAAAAUUGCAAUGUAUCAACUUCAGGAGAAAUUUUAGAAUAAAUCAGAGUCAUCAUUUUAAUCAAAUAAUAAAUAAAUUAUAUUAUAAGAUAUAUGCAUUUAUUUUUAUACAAAUUAAGGUCAAUGGUAGCUAAUUAUCUAAAUGGAGGGGCGCUACUACAGUACAUGCAUGUAUCUCAUACAUGCAUAAAAAAUAGCUAUUGGAUUAAAUUGGAGUAGAUCGAAUGGUUGAGAUUUUUUAUUAUUAUUAAAUAUGAAAGAAAUGGAAACUUGAAAAAUCGGUAAACAUGAAACAUGGGACCAAUAAACAUGAAACGCAUACCAUUAACUUGAAACUAGGAUCAUUAAACUUAAAACUAAAGGAACUUGAAACUUAGAGCAAUAAACAUGGAACUUUGGAUCAUUAACUUGCAACUCCAAAAAUCACGCAAUUAAUGAACCAAUAAAUAUGAAACAUCUACCAUUAACUUAAAACUGGGACAAUUAAACUUGAAACCAAAAAAACUUGAAAUUGAGGGCAAUGAACAUGAAACUUGGAAUUAUUAACUUCCAACCCCAAAAACCAUGCAAUUAAUGGACCAAUAAACAUGAAACAUCUACCAUUAACUUGAAACUGAGACCAUUAAACUUGAAACCAAAUAAAUUUGAAACUGAGGGCAAUGAACAUGAAACUUAGGACCAUUAACUUGCAACCACGAAAAUCAUGCAACUAAUAGACCAAUAAACAUAAAACACCUACCAUUAACUUGAAGCUGAAACCAUUAAACUUGAAACCAAAUGAACUUGAAACUGAGGGCAAUGAACAUGAAAUUUAUGAUCAUUAACUUGCAACCCCAAAAAUCAUACAACUAAUGGACCAAUAAAAAUGAAACACCUACCAUUAACUUGAAACUGAGACUAUUAAACUUGAAACCAAAUGAACUUGAAACUGAGGGCAAUGAACAUGAAAAUUGGGAUCAUUAACUUGCAACCCUGAUUAAUGGACAAAUAAACAUGAAACACCUACCAUUAACUUAAAUCUGGGACCAUUAAAAUAGAAACCAAAUGAACUUGAAACUUAGAGUAAUAAACAUGGAACUUAAGAUCAUUAACUUGCAACCGCGAAAAUCAUGUAAUUAAUGGACCAAUAAACAUGAAACUCCUAUCAUUAAUCUGAAACUCAGAUCAUUAAACUUGAAACAAAAGGAACUUGAAACUUAGAGUAAUGAACAUGGAACUUAGGAUCAUUAACUUGCAAUCGCAAAAAUUAUACAAUUAAUGGACCAAUAAACAUGAAACACCUACCAUUAAUAUGAAACUGGGACCAUUAAACUUGAAACUAAAGGAACUUGAAACUUAGAGCAAUGAACAUGGAACUUAGGAUCAUUAACUUGCAACCCUGAAAAUCAUGUAAUUAAUGGACCAAUAAACAUGAAACACUUACCGUUAACUUGAUUCUGUAACCAUUAAACUUGAAACUAAUUUUUAUUUAUUAUAAAACUGAAUUUUUUAUUAUUAUGUUGCCUUUAUUAUUAAAAUAAUUAUUAUUUUAUUUUAUAAUAUAAUAUUUAUUUAAGGAACAACCGAUUGCCCUUUACGGAUUGCUCCAAGGUUUUUUCUUUUUUUUAAUGUUUGGCUGCCACUUGGCCAUAUUUUUUAAAUUUUUUUAUUACUCGCAUGUAUGUGAUACAUGCGGGGAUUGUAGCGGUGGCCCUAAAUGGAGACUUCUAGCUGGCCAAAGUCAAAACUCAAAAGAAGACAGCUGCAUGAUUUUUUUUUUUUGAAAAAAAAAUGAACCUUGGCUGCGAGGUAAUUUCAUUGAAAAAUAAAGGACAAUGUACUCUCCUGGUAAAGGGACAUAGUGGAGCCUUACUCUCAAAAUAGUUAGAAAACUGCAACACCAAAAAAAUAAAAAAGUAGAAAGAGCACACUUAAGAAAGAUGAUAACUAGAAAAUCUAUCAGCAUCAUUAGAAAGAAACCCUGAAAAUCCACCAAGGGUAAAUAAAAAGACAGUUACAUGAUUAAUUACUUAUUAGUCGUUAAUCAUAAAACAGAUAUAUGAAAAGAUAAUGAGGAGGUAGAGGCAUGAUUAUGAAUACAAUCAACAGACAUACAUAUUUCAUUUAUUCAAAUAAUGGAGCAUGAAGUCGAGGAGUGAGAAGGACUUGAAGCGGAGUGGCCUUAAGGUUAGUCAACCCCACUCCCUCACUCAUGUCAAGUGGUUCAUCCCCUGGAGUUGCAAAUUCAAAUCCAUGCAACAAACUAGCGAGUGUUAGUAGCAAGACUUGAAGGGCAAAAGAGAUUCCAGGGCACCCUCUUCUUCCGGAGCCAAAGGGUAUCAAUUCAAAAUUUUGUCCCCUAACAUCAAUAUCUUUGUGCGUUGUCAGAAACCUUUCUGGUCGAAACUCAUUAGGCUUUUCCCACACAUUUGGAUCUCGUUGAAUCUUUGGAAUAUUAACAAACAGACGUGUGCCGGCAGGCACAUGAUAGCCGGCUAUGGUGCAGUCUUCGAUGGAUUCAUGUGGUACAGAGAGGGGCGUGGCAGGAUAUAAGCGAAGAGUUUCCUUUACUACAGCUUGCAAGUAAACUAAUUUUUUUGUAUCAGAUUCAUUCACUUGUCUUUCUCUACCAAUAUGGGUAUCUAGUUCGUCUUGGACUUUCUUCAAAACGUCACCGUGGUUGAGUACUAAAGUCAGAGCCCAUGUCAAUGUGACCAUGGUGGUGUCCGUACCCCCCAAUAUAAGGGCCUGCAUGCAAAAGAAGGAACGUAACCAUACCCGGCCCCAAGCCGAAGUCACUAAGAUUAUCGUGAAUCCAAAUAAAAUAAAAAAUAUAUAUAUAAAUACAACUUAAUCAAUGUGACUAAUUAUUAAUUAAUGUGUGUUUUGGGGAUGUAUUUACUUACUUGAGUGAUAUGUGUUUAUUUAUGAGUAAGAGUGAAAAUCUCACUCCAUGAGUCCCACGUAUUUUUGGAGUGAGAAGUGAGAUUCCCACUCCCAUGGGGGCUGGUGGAAGUGGGAAUCCACUCCUCUCUAUUUCUUUUUUACUAUUUCCUUUAAAUAUAACAUAAUUAUACCCAUUAAACUAAAAUAAUAUUACAUUUAUUUAAAAAUAAUAACAUCAUAUUAUUUAAAAAUAAUAUUAUUAUAUUAUUUAAUAAAUUACAUUUAUUUAUUUACAUUAUUUGUCUAUAUUAUUAAAGUUUCAUUUGUGUUGCUUUUAUCAAUAAUUUUUAAUUUACAUACUUAAAAUUAAAAUUAAUAAAAAAUGUAAUUUACAUAAUUAAGAAUAUUAAUAACAAUUAUUAACUUAUAUGAUUAAAUUUAAUAAUAAAAUAAAUAGUUUAUUUUUGAAAAUAUAUUUUUCAUUCACUUUGUAAUUAAGAACUACAAUUCUGUAUAUAAGUGUAAAACUAUAAAUUAAAACAAUUCACUCCUAAUCUAAAACAAAAAUAAACACAUAAAUGAGAUUUUUAUUUCUAUUCUUCACUCCUAUUUCAGUGUAUGUAAAUAACUUACUCUCUCUUCAAUUCUAUACUAUCAAUCCCAAGAUCUUCAAUCCUCAAGAUUUUUAAUCUAAUCACAAAAGUAAAUGCUACCUCAACAUAAUCUAAUAUUGAAUAAUUGGAAAAAAAAUUAGCGAAAACCUUUUUAUAAUAAAUGUUGUAAAAUCUUAUAUAACAUUGUCAAUGUGCGCGUCUACACGACUCUAUAGAUGUAGAAUUUCUUAGGUGUAUUUAUAUAAUUGUGUUUUAUUAAGAGAUCUCUUAGUGCAUUUUUGGGAGUUAGGAUUAAAUAUGGAAUUAGAUUAACUUUUAGAUUAAAUAUUUUAUUCUAUAUUUGGCUACUUUGUUUGGAUUGGAUUAAGGAGGACUAAAUUUAAAUUUAUUCCUCAAAUCAAGGGAUUAACAAUCCCAAUUUAUAAGUGGGUUUAGAUGGGAUUAGAAUAAGAGAAAAAAUUUAUUCAUAUUUCUUUCAUAGAUAUUAUUAUUUUUUAUUUGUAACCUAAAAUUUAAUUACUUAAUUAAUUAUUUUAUUCAUGAUUAACUUGAAUUUAUUUUUUAUUUUGUUUUUAUAGUCUAAUUAAAUUGGUACUUUUACUCCAAUAAAAUUAACUAUUUAAUAAUUUGUUACAAUAAUUGAUUGUAUUAAAUUUAAUAAUCACCAAUGUAAUAUUAAAAAUAAUCAUGGAAAUUAAUAAUACAAGUAAAUAAUUGAUUUUAUAUGUACAUUAUUUGCUAAAUUUUUGAUAAAAUAAAAUAUAUAUCUAAAAUAUCUGAUAAAAAUUAAUUAAAUAAUUAAAUAGUUUUAUUAAUUUAUAUUUGUUUACUAUAGUUAUAACUGCCCAAUAACUAAUUUACUACAUAUUUAAUGCUCUUGUUAAUUACCUUUAAAUUAAUUUUAAUUAUUACUCUUAAAUAUUCAUAAAUAUUUUUUUGUAUUUAAAUAUGAUUUAACAUUGUCCAAUCCGAUAUUGUACCAAAUAUAGUACAAUAUAUAAUAUAAUCCAGCUUAAUCUAAUCCAACUUAAUUUAAUCCAAUCCAAUCUUAUGUGCUAAACAUAACUUGAAGUUAUUAAAGUUAGGGAUAAAUUAAAAGACAAGAUAAACAUAUAUUCUAAUACACUACAUGACAAAAUACACAGUAUUAAAAUAUGUAUUUUGCUUGUCAUUAGUUUAUUCCCUUGCUGAAUAAUUUUUUAAUCAUGAAUCUGUAACCAAAUUAAGGUCAGAGAAGAGUUAAAGAGACAAAAAAACACAGACUCCAAUGCAGUGCACUUUGUCCUGUAAUAUAUUGAAAUCUGUAUUUUUUAAUGUUUUAUCUUAUCUCUAACUUUAAUAUCAUCAAAGAUCCUUGAUUGGAAACUCACUCUCUCAUAUAUAUAUAUAUAUAUAUUUCUCUAGUGAGGGUUAGGAUGCUGCUAACAAAAAAAAAAAGCCACCUAUUUCAAUACACUAACAGAUAAAAAAAACACAAUUUUUAAUAUAUUGAAAUCUAUAUUUUUUAUAUAUUAUAUAUAUAUAAUAUAAUAAUUUUACAAUAAAAGAUCCCUUCAGUUAUUAAGUUAAGGAAUAAGUUAGAAGACUAAAAAAAAUAUACAAUUCAAUAGAUUACAAAAUAAAGUAUGUUGUAUUACUAUUUAUCUUUCAAUUUAUCCCUUAACUUAAUAAUUUAAGAGAUUUCUUAUUAGGUUAUAUUUAUAUACCAUAGUAAUUUAGGUGCAGAUGCCAAAAUAUAUAUUUUGUGUGGAUUCGCGAUAACACCAUAUAUCGUGUUAAUAAUAUAAUACUCACUAUUAAUAAUUGUGACUAAUUAAAUAAUUUUGAUUAAAAUUAAGGUGCAUACCAGGCACGUUGCUUUGGUGAUCGUAUCGGCAUCAAAACUAGGGAUCUCUUCAUCAGCUUCGGUAAGAACGGAUAUCAUCACGUCCAUGAAGUCAUUCUCAUCCUUGAUCACCUGAUCAUCGCUUGAAAUCCUCUUCUGCUUAUGAUCUUUUAACCAGCCUUCAAGAAUUUGGUCAAGCUCUUUCGCUGUCCUCCCCAUGCUCUUCUCACAUCCAUCUAAAUCCAACCACCUCAAAAAUGGAACGGCAUCAGCAAUUGCAAAACCCCCAGUUAAUUCCGAAAAUUUUCUUAUUGCCUUUCGACACCGAUCAUUCUCUUCAUCAAUCUCUUGAUGAUUUGUUUUACCAGUCCCUCCCACGAAUAAUCUUUUCCCCACAACCAUUCUUGUAGCGACAUUUAAGGUCACUGCGUUAAAUCUUUCCUUCAUCUCAACCAAGGCCUUGCCUGAACCAUCACUGUGCUUCAUCCAUUCAUCAUAUAGUUCUUUCAUGGACGUUCUUACCUCAGAUUCUCGGACAUGUUUCAGCAUUUCCAGGCGGUGAUUUGAGAGAACCUCCAGUGUGGCAAUCUUGCGGAUUUGGCGCCAGUAAGGACCGUAAGGGCUGAAGCCAAACAUGGCGUAGUUGUAGCCCAAGAUCUCUGGUGCUAGAGCUUUUAUGCGGUUGGAAAAAACUUUAUCAUUUGUAGUGAAGCACUCUUUAGCAAUCUCCCAGUUGCUAACAAUCAAAGCUCUAUGCAUACCCAGCUUGAUCAUGAAGAUCGGACCGCACUUUUCGGCGAUGUUGCCCAAGGUGACAUAAGCUGGUUUUUGGCCCCCUAACAGGUGGAGGUGACCAAUCAAAGGCCAUGCACCACCAGGCUCCGGCACCGGUUUCUUGUCGAUUGAGUUUCUGUGCCGUCUUGAUAACCAUAGUAGAGAGUAAACAAGCAAAAACAAAGUGAAAAAGCCAGUAAUAAAAACAGUUGGUGUGAAAGGAACAUGAGUACCGUCCAUUAACCAAACUUUCUCCGAGGUUCCAAGUGGUAGAAGGAAAGUUGGAUCAAAUAAAUACAUGAGCUGUAAACCCGAUUCAAGGAUAAUUAUAUCGGUGUCUCUGGGAUAGUAAACAUAACCUAAUGGAAAAAGCUAUUUAAUUGCACAUGAUAUUUGCACACAAAAUUGGACUUGGCAAAUUGAACGAGGAAACUUGUGCACAAAAUCAAAAUUGAUAAAGUGAGUAAGUUUAUUUUUAGAUGUAAUUAAUCCCAUCUCAUCAAAUUGAUAUUGAGAAACAAAAACCUGUCUUUGUCCACACCAUAAGAAUAUGUGGAGACGAAGGCAAGAGAGUGGCUUAGCGCGCACACGCUAAUUGGUCCUAGCCAUACACAAGGGAUAAGAUUUUCAUCAUCCACGCAGUCUAGCUAGCAUGCUUAUCUCUUGCUGCAUUAGUUUGUCUCUUUUCUAGUUUCUACCACACCAUUAACGCUCGCUACCAAUGAUGUAUGUCUUCUUCAUUCUAAGAUUCAAUAUUAGCAUCAAUAUUUGGGUAACAAUAAAUAAAUAAUUAAGCUAAAAAAAGCCAAUAUGUUUAUUUUUAUAGUAAGAUGUUUCUUGUCAUUAGUUGUCAUUUGUAAAUUUUGUGUGUAAUGUCAUAUACAAAUAGCAUUAUUCUACCCUAAUUUAGAAGAAGCAAUGAUAUUUAAUUAUAUAUAUAUAUAUAUAUAUGGAGACAGAGAGAGACACACACGAUAUGAUAGAACAUACUCANNNNNNNNNNNNNNNNNNNNNNNNNNNNNNNNNNNNNNNNNNNNNNNNNNAUGUAUGUAUAGGGAGACAGAGAGAGACACACACCCGAUAUGAUAGAACAUUGACAGGCUUGCUUUACAUUUGUUUUUGUCAACUUUCUAUCAGCCUUUGAUUUCUUUAAUAUUUUUCAUUCAAAAGAUGUCCCGGCGUAGUGAGAAGAUCGAUCUAAAAUUAAAAAAUAAAAAUUCUCGAUAUUUGUAGAAAUUAAUCAUUUAUCUAUUCAUGUUUAACAGUCCAUCAAAAUCCCCCAUAUUGUUAAAAAAAAAUUAUAUAUGUUAAGCCUCGACUUUGUUUUUAUCUUCUUUUUUAUUUUAUACAAAAGAUACAAAACAUUGACAUAUUUUUUUUUUUUUUGGGGAAUAUGAGAAAAAAAUGAUUAUUUUUUUUACUGAAUCAACUGAGGAUUACAAAAACGAUAGUCAACAACCCGCAUGAUAAUAAUAUUAUAUCUUAUCUAUUCCCAAUGAUUAUAGGCUAGUUUCUAAUUUUUUUUUUGGAGCCUCUAAGUUACAAUAAUUGUAACAUACAUCCCUCAUGUGAACCACACAAAAUUGUAGGACCCACAAUUUGUGUGGUUCACAUGAGAAAUGUAUGUUACAAUUAUUAUAACUUAGCAUUUGCCUUUUUUUUUUUAUCUCCUUAAUAUCAUCUGUGUAGAUUACUUUCACGUUAUGAGUUAGAACCUAAGCAAUAGCUGAAUUUCAUUUGGCUUUAUUUCGUAUUAUUGGUUUUUGGCACCUCAGUCAUCAAGUUGUAUUUUGAUAAGUAGGGGUGGCGAAAAAACCAUUGUCUUAAAAAAAAUCAAAUUCGGGUUAGUCCGAUUAUAAAAAAUAGAAAAAACCAAUUAAUGUAUAUAAAAAAUCAAAAAUAAAAAAAUGCAAAAAAAUUACCAUUUUAAAUUAAAAAAUCGAAUCAAAUCAAACAUUGAACAAAAGCCAAACUAAUAUAAUUCCAUUGAUUUUUUGCCCAUCCCUACCGAUAAGAAUUGCUUAAUUUAUUGAGCAAAGAUAUAUGAAAAGAUCCCGAGAUUACCAGCUUGACCCAGAGGCAUCUUUUCUAUUUUAAAAUAACAUUGUGAAUGAAGAAGGUGUAAUUCAUUAGGCAAAGCUUUAUAAAAAAAGUAAAUAAUAAAUGGUGUAGGUGCCUCCAAACAAUUGAUUUCUAUUUGUUAUAUUCUCUUUAAAAACUGGUCAUCCGGAGCCAGCAAUAAGCUCAUUGCACAUGAGACGAGUGAGAAAAAUCAGUAGAAAUUUAUAAACAUACGAGUCUUUAUUUAGAGAAAUGGUAGGAAGGGUCAGUCUCCGACUUUUUGUCUUUUAACAGAAUAACAAAUUUUAUUUUAGGAUCACAAGUAAGUCCCACCUAAAAACUCAUCAAACUUAAUAUUAAGAAAUAGUUGUGAAGCCCAUUACUCACCAAAUGCUGAGGUCAAAAUUUUUUCCUUCACUAUUGAUACUAUUAUUAUUCCCUGAUACUGAAGAAAUAUUAAAAUAAAUGAUUGAUUUGAAACUUUAUUGCAUGCGUGGCAGGUCGUUUCAAACUAGGAGGUUUGUAUUUAACUAUCUGCAGUAACUAAUAAUGGGAGACUAGACAAAAUAAAAAAGAUUACAGAUCCAUAAUUAAUUAAUUACUUUACAUAACAGAUUAAAAUAAGACCGAUUUAUAUAUUCAUUUCUAAUUAACCAUUAUAUUACUAUGCACCAAAAGUCCGGCGCGGCUAUAUUUUUUAUAGUUUUUGGAGAGUGAAACUGGAAUCGGAAAAUAAUUUCAACCCAAUCAGAAUUAAUAUACUUGAUUUGCAUGGAAGAGAUGCAAUUAAUGCCACAAUAGUCAAACUUGUGCAGCACUAAAAAAUCUAAUUUUUAUAACCAUCAUGAGAUUACAACUGCAACACAGCCAUUUUUUUUUAAUUUUUUAAAAGAUUAAUUUCAAGAUUCUCAUUUGACAUAUCAAUGACAUAAUGACACCUUUUGAAAACAAAAAUUAACGAACCUCCGCUAGCAAGAUAAUAUAUUAUAUUAAAAAAGGAGAACACCUAAUGAGGGUAUAUAAUGAACUUCUCCCUCAAAAUCGUUAAAAAUUUGAAAUAAUAAACAAUGAAAAAAGGAACAGCCAUCUAAGCAAGAUGGCUUACGAGAAAUGAUAAUAAGGAAAUCCAUAAAUAUCACAAGAGCGGGCUCGGGCCAAGGUUCAAAUUUCCACCAAUUGAGCGAAGAGUGGUGAUAUAUUAUAUUCGGCCUGAUUCAUAUUAAAAAGUAUAUAUUUUAUAAUAAUAAAAUUAUUAAAUUUUUAUUUUUAGUAUUAAUUAAUACGGUUAUUUUUAAAUUAUUUUAAUAUUUUUUUAAUAAAUUUUUAUGUUAAAUUAAUUUAUAACAUGUUAAUAUUUCAGAAAUAAAGAGAGAAUUAAAACUGAAAGUAGAAAUAAAAAAGAAUUGUUAGAACCAUAUGAGAUGCAUUUUUAAAAAAAUGUAAUUACUAAAAGAUAAAUAAAUAAAGAAAGAAAGAAAAGUGAGCUAUGUAUCAUGAUAGUCAAGUGGGCACUUUGCCACUUGACUGGCACACAUUUCUAUGUAAGUAGAUAAACAAUAAAAAUAUAAAUAAUAAUAAAAUAAAAGAAAAUGAUAUGUUUGUUUUGUUGCCUAUAAAAGGCGAGGACAGGAAGAAUGAGUGGGACGUGCGGAUAAGAGGAGAAAGGCGUUGAGACUGACGUUUAAGAAAAAUGUUUUUUUCAUCUGGCUAAUUCUCUUGUAAUAUAUUUUAGAACUUUGUUAAAUAAAAUAAGUGUUGUGUUUAUUAAUAUGAGUGGUUAAAUUUUUUCAAAUGAGGUAAAAGGUGAAACUCAAGAAUUUAAAUUAUUGAAUUAAUUAUUUUCUUAAGUGAGUUUUAAAAUUUAUUUUAUUUGUUUAUAUUUUUUCUUUAUCGGUUUAUUUUAUAUCAUGUUAAUUUAUAGAUCUAGAUCUCCUAUUAUUUAUAUAGUAUUAUGACAUAAUGUCAAACACUCUAAUAUAAUUGUGGCACAUUAGAUACUUGAUUCCAUAUUUAUCCAUACAAACAGUUAGUUAAAGAUUAAAUGGCAUAAUAAUUAACUGGUAAAAUGAACACAAAAUAUAAAUAUGAGAGGAUAUUAGGAUAAUAAUUUGACAACUGAGAGUGGAUUCUAUAACCUUAGUAUCUUUCUUCAAAUUGAUCCCUAUUAAUUUCCUUUUUCUAUAAUCAAUUUUUGUGUAAUAAUUGACUACUAAAUUUUUAAAUUUCUUUUGAUUUAACUCCGUAUUUACCGAAUUAUAUUAUAAUUAAAUACUCUUAUACUUGAAAGUAAAUAACACUUUUAAGUCCUCUAAUGUCCCUCCCAGAUUAUCUCAUCAGUCCUUACUUUCAUAUUUAUCUCAUCUAUUUCUUACAUUAUCCUUAUAAAAAAAUAUUUUUUUUUAAUAUUUUUUUUACCCUCUCUCAAGCAUCACCAUCAUCCCUUCCACCAAUCUUCAUCACCAAAUUCACUGUCCAUGCUGAGAAAUAUAAUUAUAAAAACAAUGUUUUUAAUUGAAAUCAAAAUCAAAAAAUCAAAUUAAGAUUCCAAAAUAAUUGAAUCCAUGGAAAUCAAUUUGCAACUAAGACAUUGUAAUUAUCUGAAUUGAAUUUUCAACUAAUUAUCUUGAUUUUGGCAAGUGAUUUCUUUUAAAAGUCUUUUGCGCUUUUCUUAAUAAAGUGUGACGUUUGAUCACCAUUAAUGUUCACUUGUGAACUACUUUAAUUGAUCCCCUCAGUAUUAGAAGCUAAAUAACAAGGGAAGUAAUUAAGAGGGAUAAAAUUCUGAAAUUUCGUAAAAUUUCACAAUCUUUCAUGGUUAUUUGGGGUGUCUAAUUGUAAAGGCAAUCAAAAUAUGCGUUAUGGCUGAAAGUAGAUUUCUGCAGGGCUAGCUAAUCAUUGCGUGCCUGGAAAAGUCUAAAGUUCUGCUAUACUGGAAGAAAAAUACUUGGCAUGAUUGUCCUACAUUUAAUAAACGUUUUGUGAAUUUGAUGCAGAACUCCAUUCGGCUGCAUAACCUUAGGCGAUCAGUUGAUUCAUGUUCUUAAAUUUUUGUUAAUGGUAAAAUGUAUUUCAAAACCAGAGAAAAUGAGGAUGACUCCUGUUAUCUAUAGAAAUAAAGUGAAACCUCAAUGUUAACUUUAUAUAUCAUCUACUAUUCUAUUUUACUCUUGAUAUUAACAUAAAAUUUAAAUAUUUUGAAUGAAAUAAAAUGACAUAUAAAUUUAAUGACUAAAUUAAUUUAAUAAUAAAUUAUAAAGCAUGGAGAAAAAUUAGCUAACAUAAUGUUUGGCAUGAAGUUAAUAGAAAGUACAGUGACGAAGUGAAUACCCGCUGCUACAGGAACGUCAUAAAGGUUUUCUGUCUUAAGCCUUUCGUCUUCUUCGUCACCGACAAUUUGUGGCAGGCUUCCACAUUUUUCUCCAGUCCCACCUUUUAUUUUUGAAAAAAUCACAGACUGAGUGUUAAGAAGAUAGGCUUGGUAAAAUUUGGGUCUGGUCUCGGUUUUGGUGAUGCCUGGGAUUGGACUGGAUGAGUGAAAUGUAAGACCGAACUCGGGUUAAAAUUCGGUUUUUUUGGGUGCGGUCUGGGCUCGAGCUCGGCACCUUCCGGGUCCGGGUUUUGAUUCAGGCUUCUAAACCCGCAUGUGAUAACUUUAAUUUUUUUUCUUUAAUUUUUUCUCCAUUUCUCUAACAAUACAAAUUAUAAAAAAAGAAAAUAAUCAAAUAAACUCAUUCAAUCUCAUGCUUUAAAAAAGAAAAUAGUCAAAUACAAAUAUAUAACAUACUAACAAUGUAAAUUUUGCACAAAUGAUCAAUAAAAAUUAUUUCAAUCUACUUUCUAAUAUCUAAAUUCAUCAAAUUUCUAACUUAAACUCAUUCUAUCUAUAUAUAAAAAAAAUUAAAUUAAAUUCAACAACAUAAUAAUCACACAAUAAAUUUAAAUAACAUCCCGCAUAUCAUAAAUUCAUAAUUAUAUAUUUAUAUAUAAUAUAUUUAUAUUUUCUUUUUUUUUUAAUUUAUUCUGCUNNNNNNNNNNNNNNNNNNNNNNNNNNNNNNNNNNNNNNNNNNNNNNNNNNNNNNAGCAGAUAAAAUCUAGGAGGGGCUGAUCAUUUGAAAAAGGUGAGUUAUUUUUAUAUUUUUAAUUAUUAAUUGUAAUAUUAAAAUAUGGGCUAUUUUUAAAAAAAACAUUUGGUUUCCGUUAUAUUUUUUACACGAGUUUACGGGGUUAAAAAUUUGAAAUUUGUGUUUGUUCUUUGUUAUUUUUUAUUUUUUAUCAGGGAAAAAGUCCUUUUUAUCCCUAAAAUUUCAUAUAAUAGCUCAUUUCAUCCUCACUUUUUAAAUAACAGCAUAAAACAUCAUUCCGCUAACUCAUUGUUAGUUUAAUGCGUUAACUAGUAAUUCAUUGAGGGCAAAAUAUGAUUUUUUUAAUUAAAGUGGUACAAACUAUAUUAAAAUAAUUUUUUUACACAAUUAAAUAACACUACAAAAUAUGUAAAAUUCAUUAAUUUUUUCUUAAAUGAAAUCAACGAUGAAAUAGUUUGAUAAAGCCACUGAAUAAUCGUCAUAAUCAACAAAUUGUAAUUAGCACAAUAUCUUUAAAUCAUUAGAAGAAAAACUAAAAAAUACAACCAAAUUUUAUGUGCCUGCAUGUGCUGAAAAUCUUCUUAAUCUUCAACCAAUUUUUAUCUUGAGUUUUGCCACCACUCUUCUUUGACCAUUAUUGUCUCCCCAAGUCCUUACCAUUGUCUCCCUAAGUCAGAUCACAGUGCAAUUAGAGAGUAUACUUAUAUGAAUAUGAAAAUUAUGAUUAUUUUUUGUACUUAAAUCUAGGGUUUAAAAGUCUUUCAUAUCACCAAAAUAGAGAGAAGUGCAAAAUAAUUGUUUGAAAUAGACUUUUUCAUCUUUUUCAGUAUUUCCUGUUUAGUGAAAUUAGAUAAACAUCGAUUUUAAUUAUAUGUCAACUUUUAUUUAUUUUUUCUAAUUUUCUCUUUAAUGGAAAAUUCGUUUUACCCUAAAUGAAUAACUAACAAACGGCAUUUAAUUAACAGUGAGUUAAUAGAAGAAUUUUUUGAGUUAUUGUUAAAAAGUAGAAAUGAAAUAGACUAUUGCAUAAAACCCUAGGGAUGAGAAGGGUUUUUUCCCUUUUUUAUCAUAAUGUAUGUGAAAGGUUGCUAAAUGUGGUCUGAUUUUAUUAGUAUAGUGAUUUUGAACAAAAUAGAAUUUUGAAACUUAUGUUCAAAUUUAUUUUAUUUGAGGUAUUUUUUCAAUAACGAUGCUAAUUAUGUUAUAUAAAAAUAAAAUUAAAAAAGAUAAUAAUGAUGCUAGUGUCCAUUGUUACUAUGCUCAAUGUCAAACAAGGAUGUUUUUGUAAAUUUGGUUGCUAAUUUUCAUCCAUAACAUACAAUUUAUUAUUGAAUUAAUUUAAUAUUUAAGGGUAUAUAAGUCAUUUUACUUUAUUUUGGUUCUUAAAAUAUUUAAAUUUUAUGCCUAACAUCAAGUUAGGGAUAGAAUAGUAAAAUGAUAUGCUAAGUUAACACCAUUAUAACUACAAGAAGGUUCGGACCUAUUUUAAAAUAUAAGGGAGGUUUUGCUCAAUUUCGCUAAUCAAUAGGGAUGUAAUCCUCAAUUUUCUGUCAAAACCAUAAGAUAUUAUAAGCUAAUUAGAAGAAACUUAAAUCUACUAAUUGAUAUAUUAUUGGCCCUUUGAGGGUCCAACACCUCUCAAAUAUAGCUCAUGUAAUUACCAUAAUAAUAUUCAACAUUUUUUGUAACACCCCAAAUCUAACACAUGCGGAGCACGUGAAGGAGGUUACUCACAAAUCAUAAUCUUUACUCAUAAGUUUCAAACGGAAAUACCUCCAAUUCUUAUUCAAAUAAAUCCACAAAUUCAAACGUCUAAUACUAAAUAAUCUCUCCCGAGGACAUAAAAAUAAUAACAAAAGUCUCAAACUCCAAAUUACACGUUCAUAAUAGAAAUAACUAAAUAGAAACACGAGUUUAUUCCUCCUCUUAUUCAAAUGGCAAACGGAAACGGAAAAUUACUAACUCCAAAGAUAAGCGCACCUCUCAAAAGAAACUUAAUCUGUAAAAAGUAAUGACGAGGGGUGAGCCGUCAACUCGGUCAUGUAAUUAUUGGUGAAUAAAAAUAAAAAAACAACUAAAAAUAAAGAAAUGAACAAAAUUAUAAUAAUAAUAAUCCAAAAACCGAUCUAGAGUCAAUUGAUCAGUGUAUGUUUGAUUCGGAUUCAGAUUUAUUUUAGGUUAUAAUUUUUUUUAUUCUCUUAAAAUCAACAACGAACUGAAAUCAUCAACGAACUGAUUCGACGAUCACUUUUAAUUUCACCUAAAUACGAUACGUGAUGUUGGGUCAUUCAUCUCGUACUUAGUAAUUCUGAAAUAUUUUAAGUUUUUUUUAAGUUUUAUUAAUUAUUUUGUACUUGUGUAUUUUAUGAAUAUUUUUACUGAUUGUUUUAACACAUAAUGUAAUGUAAAUGGUUCAUGAUUGAUACCUAUAAGUAAAAAGAUGCUUCUAGAGCAAGACAUACAAAAAUGGUGGUAGGGUAGUUUUCCUCACCAUUGUGUAAUCACACCCAUCUACUAAGGUCAAUUAUUAAAUUUAUAUUAACUUGUUAAAGUAGUUCUAGUGGCUAAACGCGAUCAACACAAGAAAACCGCCACCCUUUGAGCAGGGCCGGCUUUAGAGUGUUUGGGGCCUUAGGCGAAAUUUUUUUAUGAGGCCUCUAUUUGUUUUGCAAUUUCAAUACUUAAAGAAAUAAAAAAAAGGCUCAAAAUUUAUUUCAUUUGUAAUUCUUGAUUUUAAAAAUAAAACCUUUAAAAAACAAGUUAAGAAGACAUUUUUUAUUCCAUUAAAGCUAUUACAAAAUAAACAAUCAAAUUAAUACGAAUAAUAUUAUUUUCAAAUAGUAUAUUUAGAAUGAUAGAAUAUAAAAAGUUGAGAUGAUAAAUUAAUGAUCAGAUAAUAGAAAUGGACUUUGUAAUUCUAUAAAUUGAUUUUUUUUUUAAAUGAACCAAUGAAUAUAAUAUUUUUCUUUCUAGAGAAGUGAGGAAGAAAUUUUUUUAUUUACUGAUUUUUGAGAUUACAAAGUUUUUAAUGGAAAUUAAAAGAAAUAGUAAAAGUCAAAUAUUCUAACAUUAAAUAAUUAAUUUUUUUGAGGAAAUUGAAAAGAUAAUUAAUUUAAUUUUUUUGAAAGACUAAUAAUGAAUGAAUUAAUGAUUAAAUAAUAUUAUUAGUUAUAUCUAUUUAACAUUAAUGUUAUCAAAUAUAGAUUUUUCAUAAAAAAUAAUUCUUAACUGUAGGAUAAUUAAUAAUUAGAGAGAUAUUAAUAAGCUUUUUGAUUUCCUAAAAUACGUAAUUUAAAAAAAUGAGAAUUAUCAAAGAAAUUUAAAAAAUGUGGCCUUAACAAAAUAUGGGGCCUUAGGCGACCGCCUUGUUCGCCUAUACCUAAAGCCACCCCUGUCCAUAUGUGUGAGAGCACACGGGAAUCACUAUUUUAAUUUAAAAUUGUCCCGAACUAAACAUAUUAUAAAAAUAUUGAAAAAAUAACACUUGAAACCACUAAUUUUUUUUCAAAAUGGACAGUUAGUCCCCAUCAUUUUAUAAAUAGACAACUUAAAUUUUCACUAGUUCAGAAAUGAUUAUCAAGAUCUCUUCUCAGAAUCUGCCACCGUUGGAGCCAAUGAAACAAAUGACUGACCCAUCAUAUCAACCAAAGAAAUAGAAAAUACCAAAAAGUUCGAAUUCACAGCUAAUAACAUUGAUUCAAUUAACAUUGACAUAAUCGGAAUAUUUCGUCUAUUAAGGAGGAUUCCCCGAAUACCUAAAAUAGAGAUAAUCAUAGAAAAUAUGAAAUAUUUGAUAGGAUCUAUUUUCAGAACGUGCAAUGUAAGAGAAAUUUAAAUGUUAUAACUUUAGUACCUCACGACAUAGCAAAUACAACUCCCUGCGCUCCAGGGUUAUAAUGACUUCCGAAACAGCUUUUGUGAUAGCAUUUAUCUCUUUGUUUUUUUGGGGUUAUUAGGGAUUUUUUUUUAAUUAUUUAAAUGGAGAUAUAAACAUUAUAUAUAGUAUAUCUUUGCGAACAUUUUGGUAUGUAAAUCUUGAUAGACAUUGUUUUUUGUAGCAUGUAGAUCUAGCUAGACAUUACUUUCACAUCGAUAUUGGUGGUAUUGUAGUAGAUCAAUGUCAUUUUUCUGGGUCAACUAGACAAAAUGCAGUAAUGGAAGCUAUAUAUCUAAUUCUAAAGGGUGGGUUCUAGCCAUAUCUCCAUUUGGGUAAGCCUUAGGAUUUGGACGUGUUUUUCGUAAUCCUAUGACAAAUGUGACAGUUAUCUUUCCUUAGUUUGUACCUUUCCUUACUUUCAAAUAUCAACGAAAGACCAUGCUAACGUUUGUCAUGGUCAUCCAUGAAUUGACUGCCAAUGAAAAUUAAACCCAUAAGUUUUUAAUUUAGUAAUUGUGUAAAGGUAUAAUUUAAUUUUUUUGAUUUAUUAUUAUUUAUUAAUCAAUAAUCGUCCAUGUGAAUUUUUACUCACAACUCACGAGAAGUUCAAAUGAUGAUCCAUUUAAAAGUUGUUGGAUUUUAACAUUUUCUAAGUUUCUUUGGAAUAGUAAAUGGUAUUUUUUCUCUUCUUCCAAUUCAAAAAUCGUAUACACAGCCUUAACGUUUAGACAACAAUGCAGUCUCAGAGCAAGCAAUAAAAGUUUAACCAUUAAUUACACUGCAUAAAUUUCCCUUCUUCAGCUAAACCACUUGCACUUUGAUCAAUUAACCUCUUAUCUUAUAAAAUAUUCUAGUACAUGUACUUAAUACUAAAUUCCCUUUUCUCGUUACUUUUCUUUAAUUUCUUAGCAACAAUUUCAAAAAAAAAAAAAAAAUCAUCGAGGACUCAACAAGCGACAAAAAGUUUUUAAUAUUUAUUAUAAUAUUUAUUUUUUAACAAUUUAUUAAAAUUCCAGGGAAUCAUUUCUUGGGCGCUAAAAUUUUGUUCACCAGCGGGUCUUCCACGAAGUGACACUUCUUCCAAUCAAAAGUUCCGAUAGCUAAACACUUUGUUACACAAUUUUAAAUUCAUCAACCAGCUUGUAACACCCCAAAUCUAACACAUGCGGAGCACGUGAAGGAGGUUACUCACAAAUCAUAAUCUUUACUCAUAAGUUUCAAACUGAAAUACCUCCAAUUCUUAUUCAAAUAAAUCCACAAAUUCAAACGUCUAAUACUAAAUAAUCUCUCCCGAGGACAUAAAAAUAAUAACAAAAGUCUCAAACUCCAAAUUACACGUUCAUAAUAGAAAUAACUAAAUAGAAACACGAGUUUAUUCCUCCUCUUAUUCAAAUGGCAAACGGAAACGGAAAAUUACUAACUCCAAAGAUAAGCGCACCUCUCAAAAGAAACUUAAUCUGUAAAAAGUAAUGACGAGGGGUGAGCCGUCAACUCGGUAAGUAAAACCAUUCUUAACACACUAUGCCUAUCGAUAUUGCAAGCCUUCUUUUAUUUAAAAAAUCUAUUGUAAUUCAUAAAUUUCAUAAAACGAUAUAUCACGAUAACAUAACGUAAAUUCUUAAUAAUUCAGAAUAUCCAAAAGUAUAUUUACUUACGAAGCAAAUCAUAUAAUACGUAUACAGAAAACAAAAGGUUAGCCAUGUCACAUAGUGUCACCUAUAGUCCCGGUGACCCGGCCAGAAACAGAAUCAGAAUAUCGUGUGCACACUCAUAACAGAAAACCCAGUACAGGUCCAGAACAGACAUAUAUCGUAUUAUACGAUCAGAAUCAGAAUCAGAAUAACUACGGACAAUGAGCCAAAACAUAAUGACUUAUACGUGGCACUUUGCACUAUAUGUGGCACUUUGCGACGCUUUGGCCUUCAAGAGGUGGCCCCCAUAUCAUCAAUAAUCGAAAUCAUACAUGGGUACAAAAUAUUUGUAUCAGAUUUAUAAAAGUUCAUAACAAUAAUUUAGGCUUGCUUAACAUUUUAAAGAUAAAAUCAUAAAAAGUUGUCAUGUCAUAAAAUCAUAAAAGGUUGUCAUGUCAUAAAAUCAUUUACAUAUUAAAAAGCAUUUAUAAAAUACUUUGUUAAAAAGAAUUUAGGUUUGAAAACAUUUACAUAAAACUAAUUUUGUUAUCAAAAUCAAUUAAUCCUUUAAGUAGUAUAAAAACAUUUAUACUUAUAAUAAUAAUAUCAAAAUACUUAUACAUAUCCAGUAUAUUAGGAAUGAAGUUACUUACCUCGACAAAUGAAUUUGAAUUAACACACCUCUAAGCUUCUAAGAGCCUCAAUCACCUUCAACACCUUAAACAAAUACAAGAUAUGACAAUUAAUAACUUAUUCUAAGAAUCUGAUUUUCUAAUUCAUACCCGUACAGGUCUGAUUCUCAGAAUUUAACUCUUAAUCUAAAACUCAGAAUGAUAUAAUAUUCUAUAGAACUAUUCUGGACAUCCAUGAGUACCCCAUGUAAAAUUUGCAAGAGGAUCCGAUAUCAAAAACAUUUUCAAAACUCGAAACUGUUUUCACAUAAUCUAAACCAAACAGAACGGGUUCUGUGAUUUUUAUAAAAUAAAAUACUAUUCAUAAAAUUAUGAAAUUAAAACUGGGAAUUCUAGAUACAUAUAUUAACCUACAUAUAAACUUUCAGAAUUUUCCGAGUUCAUUUGGUGGUACAAAUAGUCUUGUGAAUCCGAUCGCAAUGCUGGAAUCGCAGUUUUCCAGUGCAGUGGUUUCUAUUUCGAAAAUAGAUAUACAAUUGAAAACGAAGUCGAAUUUAAUGAAAUAAAAUUUACUCAAGAAGCCCUACAUGUCUAGUUUCCAGAAAUAUAAAUUUUAUAAGAAAACUCAUUCAGAAAAUAUAGGUUUAAAUUCGAGAUACUCAUACUGUCCAGAAUUAUCCUGUGCUUAAUAUGUCAAGGAUUGAUUAACUAAACUCAUAAUAAAUCAAAACCCUAAACAACGCCUAAAUACAUUCUAAAUCAUGCAUUAUGAUCUAUAACCAUCUAGAAUCAUGCCAAUAUAAACCCUAGAUAGAGUGAUUAGAAAUCUGUUGAGAAUAUGGAGAAUAACUUACCCGUCACUUUGAUUCUCUCCUAAACAAAGGUUUGAAUCCUAGGAUUUGGGUAGGAGUGUAAAGAGCAGUAAAGAAGAAGAAUAAACAUCGUGAACUUAGGGUUAUGGAAGGGAAAAAGUAUGAAUUUAUAGGGAGUCUUAAGAAACCCUAUUUAAUAAGGAAAAAUAACUCUUUUUCUAAAACUAUCUCAUAAAUAACCUCUAUUUAUAAUUUAGUAUCCCUUUCUUAAUAAGGGUUAUAGGCCACCAUAAUUUCCAAUGAAAGCCCAAUUUCCAUAAUUUAAUAUUAUGGAAAUUUGUGGUGUUACAUUUUUUUAAUAAUAUUUGAAUAGAGAGCUAUAAUUUAGUAUCCCUUUCUUAAUAAGGGUUAUAGGCCACCAUAAUUUCCAAUGAAAGCCCAAUUUCCAUAAUUUAAUAUUAUGGAAAUUUGUGGUGUUACAUUUUUUUAAUAAUAUUUGAAUAGAGAGCUAAAUCAAGGUGACUAACCAAAAUGCGAAAAAAAAAAAAAAAGCGCCCACAUAUUGCUCCAUGAUUUAAUUUACAGUAUGAUUCUACAAAAUAAGGUGUCACUUCCUGCUAAUUUAAAACUAAUAAAAUUAUUAUAAGAGUUGUAUAUUAGAUCGUAGUGAUAAGUAUUAUAAGAGGUUGUAUUACAAGUAACGACCACAAAUCUGUCUAAAGUAAUUAUUUAUUUAUAAAGUUGUCUUCUUUUGACUUUGGUAAGUUUCCCAUUAGAUUAGUUGAAAUGUUAGUUCAGACGACGGUUACUAUAUCAUCUGCCCCUAAAGCUUUGCCAUAAUCACAAGUUGGGUUAGUGGGUUCUGUUCAUGUCUUUUCUCUUAUUAUUGUAUUAAAUUUCAGCUAACACAACUCCGAGAUAAUUAUUAAUUGUGUCAAGAAUAGCAUGACCGAUUCAUUGUCCUAUCAUAAUCGCAUCAUCAUUUAACACAAUUUUAAUGUUUUAUUCAUAAAAUAUCACAUUUUUAUCAUUUUUUUUAUUACAAUUUACUUUGUUCUUAUAAUUUUACGUGGAUAAACAAGAAUACGUUCAAGUAGUGGCACAAGGCAUAUUAUCAUAUUAUAACUAAUAGUAAAGCUAGCGAAGGGGCAACCUAGGCAACAGUGGUGAAGCUAAAGGAAGGCUAAACCAGACUUUAGGUCGAGUAAGAUUUUUUAAAAAUAAUUGUUAGUUAAUUUAAAAAAAUUAUUUAUAUUAAAAAAAUUUCAAACAUAGUAAAUUAUAAACUGACAACUCAACAUUAGCAAUUACCUGCACUGUGGCUCCAUGAAUUGGAUCCACCGAAGAAGUAUGACCAUAGACAACCAGUGAGGUGAGAGUCGACUUUUGAAUCCUAUGUGAGGGUGACACUAACUUGAGGUUCUUGAGUUUAAAGAGGAACAAGGCUGCUAGUUUUGCAAAUUUGGGGGAGAUGAUGGGAAGAAAAAAUCAUCUGAUUUCAACUUUUGAGAAAUAUAAAUUUUAUUUUAAUAUUUUAAUGAGAGAGAAAGGAAGAAAGAGGGAGAUGAUAAUGAACACAUUUUUGUUGCUUUUUUAUUUUAAUGCUAUUAUGUAAAGUCGUUGGAUUUGUUUUACUACAAUUUAUUUUUAUUUUAUAGUAUAAAAUCAAAAUAUCCUUUCACUUUAAUCAAUGAACAAUAAUUAAAAAAUUUUUUGGCCCCCCUGCAAAAAUGUGCUGGCUUCGCCACUGUCUGAGCUAUUGCUCAGGCUAGUCCCAACAAAAUUUCAUGUAAAUCCAUCUAUUUUUAGUUUAUUAAAAUGUACUUAAAUAAAUUACCGCUGUCUUCCAUCUAAUUUUUUAUGUGUAAAAGAAAGAUGCUUAAAUGAAAUUAUUGAUAUUUUUUUUCUUUAAACCCUCUCUAUUAUUCGAGAAUUGUCCACUCUACUCACAUUUUGUGAGGGAUAAACUAGUUUUACUCAAUUAUUUGAUAAUUAAGGGAGGAUUGAAAUUAACCCCCAUAAUGCUUUUAUGGAGGCUCAAACCCUUGCACUCAACAUUGUAAGUGCAAGGAUUCUCCCACUAGACCAAAGGCCCAUUGGUACGUGACUGAUUUUAUGAGGAAGUGCUACUAUUUAGCUGUAUCAUCAUUUGUAGUUGUACAUUCUCAAUGAAAUUCAAGCUGAAAUGUCUAUGGCCAUGCUAAUGACCACGGCCACACCUAUUUUCAUAAUUGUCAUCACAAUAAUGUGAGAGAACAUUUGCUUUAAUAGCCAGUUUUGUACUAGUAAAAUGGGUGAUGCGAACCCUACAAUGAAACUUUGAAACCCACACUUAAUUUAUAGUUUCAACUUCCCAAGAAAGUUCUAAACAUAUUUAUGCGAAACAAAAACCUUGACCUAAUGUUUAAGAAAAUAUGAACCAGAGGUAUAGAGAAGAAUAUGGACGCCACACUCAAGAUUUAGAUGAGAAGGUGAGUGAUAAGUCUAUUUUGGAACGCUACAAGAAUAUAAAUUAUUAAUAAGUUCACUAGUUCUCAAAAGAACCAAAGAAAAAAUAAUCUUUCAAAUUCAAAAUAACAUUCAUCUCUAAUUGUCUUACAUACCAAGGUUACUGAAUUUAAAUAGGCUAAUAGAAACUCAAGAUCCUAAAAAUACAAUGAAAACAUUGGAACAACCCUCCAAAUAUAGGUUUGUCAAAAGAUGCUUCAAAAGUCUUCAUCAAUCCACCAUUAGUAAUGCUAGUCAUUGACAAACUUAAUACUAGCCUCCCAUAAUUAAUGUUAUCAUUGACAAACUUAAUGUUAGCCCACCGUCAUUGAUGGUAGACUUACCUUACACAUAGACAAACUUGAAACAAAACAAACAAAUGAAAUUGAAUAAACUAAGUAGUCGUUGGAAAUCUCAAGUCUGAACAAGCUGUAAUAAAUUGGUCAUAACUCCUUCUAGAGAACUCCAAAUCCAGCUCUGUAAAUUGCAUUGGAAAGUUAACUUAAUUAUCUUUCCAACGGUAUAUAGUUUGCAUGUUACUUCUAGCUCAAUCAAUAUCAGUGUUAUUCUAAAUUUUCCCUUUCUGCAUUUGAUCCAAAUUGUGUAUUUGGCUGCCCAAUAGCUUGAAUAAUGCCCACAAUGCCUUGUCUUCUCUCCAAGCCCAAUUCAUGAUGUCUUGUAUCUUGAAUUGCAUUUUCAGUCCAUAUUUUCUCAAUUAAUCAAUUUAAAGUAGUUUGCAUUUUUUUUGCUCUAUCUCUUAUAAUUGGGCCUCCAUAAAUGUGCAACGAUUAGUUAAAGCUUUAACAAUAUUCCCUUGAUGGUUCUCAUCAAUGGGCUUGGUGAUUUUUCAUUAAUAAUUCAUUAUUCUUUUCUCCCACAAGAAGGCAUGUAAUUAAGUUAGAAUAUUUUGUAUACUGACGGGUGCUAUAUUGUUGUUGUAGAACCAUAUUGGAAGCAUGAAAUGUUGUAAAUAUUUUUUUCCAACAUAUCCGCAUCAGUAAUAUUUUCUCCACACAAUUUUAACCGCAAGCAAUUCUGUAUAUUGCAAAAUUAUAUUCUAUUUUCAGUGCUUGGUGGAGAUGGUGACGUAGAUAAAUCAUGGCCUUGGCUCGAUCCUGAAAAGAUGAGUCAUUAUUAUUUUUUAUUGUGUCACUAAGGCCCAUAACAUCAAGAUGAAUUUCAGCAUUCAAGAUCCAGGAUAAAUAAUUCUCGCCAGAUAUAUUCAAGGUAUUAAAUUCCAAUUUUGUCAAGUAGGAUAUUACCACAAACAAAUAAACAAAUAUUAGUAUAAUAAAUAUUGAAAAGAAUGUAAAUAAGUGGCUUACUUAUAAGGAUAAUUAUAAAUAAACCUAUGGAAAUAAAAGAGUAAGGGGAUAUGAUACUUUCUGUAUCAAAGCGCAGUCGUGCUGAUAAUAUAUUAUAAAUUUAAAAGAAUAGUUUGUUACAAAUCUAGAAGCAACUCCUUUAGAAUUGGAUAAGAAACCUUAUAACAAAGUUUUAUUUAUAUUACUGCUACAUUACAAAUCUUUUCAAAGAAGAACAACACUUAGAGUCAGACAUUUUGCUCUAACUACAAAUAUAUACAAUUGGCGUCUUAGUUGAGUGGGUGACAAGAUAUGUUAUAAAACCUAAAGUUGUGAACCCACUUUCAAAAUGGUGAGUACAUUAUUAAUUACAAAUGAUGCUUCCAUUUGCUUGGUGAUUCCACAAUAAUUUAUAACACAAAUAUACAAUAGAACAACUUUAAUAUAUAAUGGUUUAAAAAUGAGUAUUGGCACAAACUCUCGAUGAAAAUGUAUAAUUAAUUUGCAACUAGAACAUUGUAAUUAUUGUUAUUUACAACGUUUAAACUAAUCUAAAGGGAACAACUCUGUCAUUAUUUACUUUAAACAAGAAAUAACACUGAACGAGUAUGAUACAGGUACAAAUUCAUUUGCAUAAAUUUAUGUCAUAUUACUUAAGUAGUUAAAUGAAAACAUCACAUGGCUUACAUAAAAUAUUUUUACUAUAUUUAAUAUUUUCAUUCAACUAUUCAUAUAAUACCACAUCGGUUUGCAUAGCUCUCAUAUUACUCUUUCUAAACAUUAUAAUUUCUAACAAACUACUAGUACUUGUACUCUUAGUGUGAGGACAUGUGGUUUGAUCUAUGCACAAUCAUUUAAUAAUCAUAUCAUAUUUAAUAAGAUAAACUCAUUUAUUCAUGUCAUAUUUAUAUAAUUGGGUUACUAUAGGACAUGUCAAAUUUUAACAGCUUUACUCUGCCCAGUAAAAUUGUAACAUCUCAAAAAUUUACCCAUGAAAACACAAGGGUAAAAUUGGAAUGAAACCUCACAUCAUUUAUUCUUAUUAAUAAACCUCAAGAUAAACAAUCAUUAUUCAUAUUCCAACUGAAUACUUACAUAAAACAUCUAAAAUAAAGUCUCCAAAGAAAAGUCUCUAAUCCAAAAAAUAAAAAGUCUAACCAAAUUUAAUCUUUAAAAAAACUCCAAAGAUCCACUAAGAAAAUUUCUCCAUCUAAGAACUCAAGCCACAUCUCUAAUCAAUCUGCAAAAUAUUGGAGACGAGGGGUGAGCCGUCAACUCAGUAAGCAAAUCCAUGCACAAUAUUUGAAAACUUUUGUCAUUUACCUUUAAACAUUUUAUAAUAAUAUCUUCAUUUAGCAUAAGGGGUGGAUUCAUGUAAAAUCAUUAAAACAUUCAUAAAAACAUUAAAACAUAAACAUUGGUAGCUCAUGCCUCGUAGUCAUCAUCAUUCAUCAUUUAUCAUUCAGGGUACUAUACCCCGCAUUAUUGUUCAUAACAUCCCUGUGCACAAGAUCAUCAUCAUACCAGCAAGUUGGCCAUAGCAUUACAUAACAUCAUAACAUUUGCAUCAUAUACAUUAUUACGAACUAUGAGCCAAAAUAUUUUUGAAUCCACCUUACAUUCUUUCAUAAAUAGUAUUUAAAGUCUUCUAAAACAUUUAAGAACUUUUCUUUGAACAUUUAAUUCUUUUAGAAAAUUCUUUAAGAAAACAUUUCGUUUAAGAAAACUAAUUUCUUAAGAAUUAAAAAAAAUUAUAUAAAUUCAUUUAAAAGUGUUUUUAUUUUACAAAAUUCAUUUAAAUAUUUUAAAAAUCAGUUUUGUAAAACUUUUCAUUCAAACAUAAAUUGCAUUUAUUAUAAAGCGCAUCAUGCAUGAAUCUACUUACCUCGAUCCGCAACAAUCAACUCAAUACCUCAAGAACAAACUAAGGAGCUCACCCACGUCCUAUAAUCAUCAUAAAAGUAUCCUUAUCAAUAUUAUCUAUAACCUUAAACGUAAUCCCAAUCAUCCUUAAAUCAUAGUCACUUAUACUAGCUCAAAACUUAUACAUAUUCUAGACUUAAACUGCUGUACGGCCAAGGCGGAUGUACGGUACAGCAGAUGUUUUUUUUUUUGUAAUUACAGAAGACACAUUCAGAAAGCAUGUAAUUAAAAUUUAUAAUUUUUGGACGCCUGAAACUAUUUUAUAAGCGUUUUAUUUCCGAGAACAUCUAAUCUGUCCAGAAAAUUCCAGAUUUGAAAAUAGAAUUUCAAAAAUUCAUAUCUUUUAGUUUACAUGCCCAAAAAUCGCGAUUCCAGUUUUUAAAGACAGAGGAAAGAUUGAAAUUUCAUUAUAAAAUCCUAACAUGGCCUGUAAUAUUCAUAAAUUAGCCCAAACUGUUACACGUAUCAGCUUCUGCAUUUCGGGAAAACAGUUUCCAGAUCUGCAGCAGCCGCAUGUUACAAUUUUUAAUAAUUUAACCAUAAUGAAUAAAAUUACGAAAUUAAACAUGCAAUCAUAUUAGACAUAGAUCUGUUGAUAAAACAAUCGCCAUAAUUUUUAAGGAUGUCUAACCUUAUGGAAAAGUUUCCAGAAGUGAGAACCGCUGCUCAAAAUCGGAAUUUUCCAGCACCAGUAACCCAACUUCGAAAAACCAUAACAAUUUGCAUACUCAGAGGAUUUCAACACAAGACCUAUCAAUGGAAAGCUUAGGAUGUCUAGUUUCAUGAUUUGUAAACGUAUUUAUGUGAUUCCAAAUAAAGAAACCGAUUUCAAGCAAAGAAUACAGAUUGUUUCAUCACAACAUUAUAAACACACAUAUAUUACCUAGAUCAUACCACAAGUAAUUAAAUGCAAACAACUAAUAAAAAUAAAUCAAAGAAAUACUUAAUACCUCAAGGCAAACGCCAAGCAAAGAGGUUAUAAAACUUUCUUUUUCUUCUCCAAAGGCUUAUGUUUUUUUUUUUUUUCUGAGGUUUGUAACGGCAUAGAAAUUAAAAGACAGCUUCCUUUUAAAAAGAUGCUUCCUCUUAAAUACUUGGUAAUUAAUAAAUACUUUUUUUAUAAAAACUAAUAACUUGCGUAACUUAUUUAAAGCAAUUUGAUAAAUUUUACUCACACACAAACACUCAAUAAUAAUUAUCCUACCUAAUUUAAUAAGGGUAAAAGAGGAAACAAAAAUAAAAGUGAGCGUUCCAAAAAUGUUCAUCAAUCACUCCUCCACUCUCUUAUACAAGGCUGAAAUUAUCUAAGAACAUAGAUGAGGUUUUUUUGCCUUUCAUCGCCAAUAGUUUUAAAAUCAUUCAAAUCGUUUGUACUUUAUUAAAGUUGUUGAGCUUGGACAGUUUUCAUCAUCUAAUUAAUAAAUUAUCAGAACGUAACAGCCUGGAAAGGCUUGGGCCUAAAAAUCUAACCCAGCCUGGCCUUGUAGCCGAAGGCUGAAAUCAAAUAAAGUUGGGCUUGAUUAUUGAGAUGGAAACAAAUUUUUAAAAUAAAAAUAUAAUUCAAUAACUCGUGUUAUAUUUUAAUGCAUGUAUAUUGAUGCAACUCCCUCAGCCCUUGAGACAAAUUUGAAACAGCCAAACCACAUUGGAGUUCGAAGCAUACAACAAUAAAUAAAACACAAAACACACAUACCAUGCCAGGACUUGUAGCAUAUCCAUGAAAUCUACUAAACAAAACAAUGUCCUGGCUCAUCACGACUUAUUAAUGAAUAGACAGCAGAAAUGGAUUAAUGCUGGAUGAUGUUUCCUCUUCUGAUUUUACCUACAUUAAGCGAAGGAAAAUAAGAAUUAGAAAUGAAAGUCUGCUUUUAAUUACAGUUCUUCUUACUAGCUACCGAUCAAUGAGUCUAUAUUAGAGACAUAAUGUUGACAUUAGAAGCAACGCAAUUGAACUCCCGUUUGUAUAACCAUUAUAAGUGUAAUUCCUCAGAUAAACCUUUAAUUUGAAUUAUAAUUCAGGGAGUUACUACGCAAAUCUACAGAGGAAAUGGAAAAGGACAUACCAAAUUAGGCAUCUAAAUGUUGAGCUAUCAGAGAAGGAGUAAAAUCUCACCUCAUCCGCUACAUCAGAUUCCAUAAGGAUACAUUUGGAUGUAAUAACGCCGCUCCAUAUCCUCAUAAGCCCUUAGCUUUUUUCUCAACUCCGGCUGAGGCCAAUGCAAUUCCAAUUUGCGUAAGCUCUCUAUGCGCCAUAGCUCUUCAGGUAGCUUUUUCAAGUAAGCACAAGGGUUGAUAAUCAAGCUUUCAAGUUUUGUCAUAGCUCUUGCCCCCAUUGUCCACUCCUCUAGCCAAAACAUUGAUUUCAGGUGCAGAAUCUUGAGCUUUGGAAAACCACCAGAGCCCACACAAGCCAGCUUUCUUCCUGAAUACGAGUUCUGCUUCAGUUUCAACACCAGAAGGUGUGGCAGCUUUUCCAGUGUCGGCAUGGGAUCCUCCUUGAGUUCAGUAUUUGAUAAGCUCAAUUGGGUCAGACUUGGAGGAAAUUGGUAUUCAGACAGGAUCAUUUGUGAGAGUUGCCACCCCUUACUUUUAUUCACCAGCUUCAAGCUUUCAAGUUUGAGUAGUUCGCGUAGGCUCUUAGACAACCCAGAUUGGUAGGAACUCAAAUCUCCAUAUAUUUUUAGAGUUUGAACAUUAGGUAGUCUGCCCAAUGUAUCUGGAGUGCAGCUACAAGGGUGUAAGGCUGAUAUGAAAAUCAGAUUUUUCAGAGAGCUGCAAUAAUUUUCUGGAGGCGCAGGGAGAGUGAUACAACCGAAGUUUAGAUGCAUUAGUUUAUGCAUGUUCCAAAUAUCUUCUGGCGUAUGAUCUAUGUAGCUGGAUGGCAUAUCUAGUGUUUGAAGGUUUAGAAGGUUACAUAGUGAUGAAGGAAGGCUUUUGAGAGAAGGGACAUCCAGCUUCAAACAUCUCAAAAGGAAUAAAUUUUCUAUUCCGGAUGGAAAUUGGUCAAGAACUAGAGAACCCAUGUUCAAUACCCUGAGUAGUUUGAACUUUUUACAAAUAUUCUCACAAUCUAAGAGGGCAGAAUGAUCGCUUUCUAAGGCAAAAUUCUGCAAAGAAUGGAGAUAUGUGUCAAUAUGCUCUAAAGAAACGAAUUUAGUCAGAUUAUUUGGAACGGAGAACCGUUUAAUAGUUCUCAAUUCCUCUACUAGACCUAAAUCAAGGACCAUGACAAAUUUCAUUUUUGCGGCCAAAACAACUAAUCCUGCCCAUACACUGCUAGGAACGGAGCAUGUUUUAAUUUUACCUCCAGCACUUCUCUUCCCCACUUUAAUUAAGCCCCGACUGAUCAGUUCCUUCAAGUACUCCUCUGCAUUUGCCUCACUGUUGUGUGCAACGAAACCUUCAGCCAUCCAUAGCUGAUACAAUUGCCUGGUUGAUAUCUCAAGGUUUCCAUAGAAGACACACAAAUAGAAACAACAAAAUUUCAAGUACAAAGGUAACUCGAAGAUAGAACAAAACAGAAGAGCUGUUGGUUCAUUCUCCAUUUCCAUCAUUUGCGAUUCUAAUGAUUUGCAUCCGCAGUAUAAUAGGAAAAAUUGCCAGCCUUCAUAUUUUAUUCUAAACAAUGGUCCUCCAACGAGCACAGAAUCACUCCCAAUCUUCUCUCCAUUCUCUAAUUCGAACGAAGUGAGGAUGUCAGGAUCAACGACCGUUAUCAGUACUCUGCUUCCAUUCUGAUAAUCUGGAAGAGCUUCUCGAAGAUCAUUCCAUAUCAUAUCGUGAUAGAUAUCAUCAAGGACAGUCAUAUACUUCUUAUUUGUCAGGUAAUCACGAAGAAUGGACUUCUUCAAUGUAUAGUCUUUACCAAUAAUUUCACUCAACCCAGAUGCAGGCAUCACUGACUUUAUUAUGUCGUCCAAUAUCUUUUUGAAAUUGUAUUGUAUGGAUACUCUAACCCAAGCUCGGCAAUCAAAAUAAAACUUGACAUGAUUACUGUUGAAAGCCUCUGCAGCAAACGCAGUCUUAUUGAAACCUCUGCUAUCAAGAAUUGCGACUACUGAAAGCUGAGGUUGUCCCUCUAUCAACAGAUCUAACAACGCCUCCUCCAUGUCCCUCUUCUCAAACCCUGGAGAUGAAGAAGACUCACUUUCUUGAUGAAUUCGAAUGAACAUGUCCCUUUCUUUACUGAGAUCAACAGUUAUCCGGUUGGGUGGAAGUUGUGCAUCCGAUUUCUAAUGUCAGAGAUUUUACUUUGAAGUCCAACAAGAGCAUCCUUAUAACUAGUGCUUUCACUUUCACUUUCACUGCUUUGCGGCUGCAUGAUGGUGGUGAAGAAUGUGUCGAUGGCUUUCUCAGACUCAUAGACAAAGUAAUUGAUGUCGUUCAGAAUGCUCAAAACGUCGGGUCUAUCGACAUCUUCUUCAACAUUCCAGAGUUGAAUCAGAAGCCGAUUGAUGUCACUUUUAUAGUCCCUCAGCAAAGUAGUAAUAAUUUCAAUCUCCGAUAGAAAAUAUUGGAGAACAGGCUUUAAAUUUGUUGAAUCAGGCAACGUUAACGCUCCGUCUUCACCUGCUAACACCCUUUUCAGCCUAUCCGAAAAUAGUAUGAGGUUCAUCUCCAUAUCUCCUUUCUCCCAGGUACUACCAAUCUGUUAUAGUUAGAGCAUUAACAAUGAACAUCAAUGAAUGUGAUAACUCAUUAUGUUAAUCAUCAGGAUCGCUUAGAUUAACAAACUUCAACUUGCAUUAUGAGAAUGUAAUUAACCAUUAUUAAUUUGCAACUAGGGCAUUAUCAAUAAUGAUUAACAUCUCAACUAAUCUAAAGGGAGACUAGCCAAAGUCAAAAGAAGAUAUAUUAUUGAUAAACCAGAUUCUUAAUUAUUUUCUCUCAUGCUGAAUAUUGCAAGCACGUCUUACAUAUCAGAAACAUUAUACAUCCAUAUUUUUCACCAAGAAUUGUAUCUCAUUAGCUUGCUGGUGAGAGACCCGUUAAUCAAAUUUAAGAUCUCUGUUUCGAAAAUCCUGUGAAACUAAAUAAAUCACCACAACUAAUGCUUAAUAUAAUACUUCUUCAUAAACAAAUGAUGCUUACAAUUCCUUCUUAUAUUGAGUAAUCCAAGAAUGAGUAAGCUUCCAAUCAUAUAUCCGUGAUAAAUUAUGGUCAACACCAAUAUAAAAGACAAGAAAAUAAAAAUUUUAAUACAGAAAAUAUAACACAUUGGAAGGUGUAUUUUUUAAUUUUUUACUUUGAUAAGACAAGAAAAUAAAAAUUUUAAUACAGAAAAUAUAACACAUUGGAAGGUGUAUUUUUAAAAAUUUUUUACUUUGAUCUUAACUUUAUGGUAAUCAAAGUAUACUUGAUUGGAAAAUUAUUCAUUCUAGAAAUAUAAUCUUUCUAAUGCGUACAUAGAAAUAAUUGACGGGAGAUCGCUUUUCGGAAUCGUUCAUUACAAAUAAGGUUGUUUCAUGAAGGCUUAAUUCUAGAACUUUUUUAGGAAAUAGAUUUCAUCAUAAAUGAGUCUACUUAACUUGAUCUGAAAAAAAUUCCUAACUUUUCAUCUAUUAAUCCUAUUUGCCAGAAGCAUAUCCUAAUAUUGGAAAUAUCAAUGGAUUUAUCACUCAUAUGCAUCAUAAAAUAAAUUUUAUCAUCUAUUAAAUCCCAAAAAAUCAAAUUCUGUAACAGAUUGUGUAUGCUUAAGAACCUUCAAAAAUUAUGUCAACAAGCUAAAAUCCAAACUCCAUAUUUUGUUACCUAUUAAACAGUUUUUUUACCAAAUGUUUCUCUAAUUAUAGAUCAGUUAAUGAGGUAAAAUUUAUGAAAAUUAGACUGAUCAGAGCUAAAUAUAUAGUUAUUGAACUCCAAAUAUUUCGUGCCCAAAAUCCCAAAGUUACACAAUAUUUAACAUUAGCAAAGAGACUGAUACAUCAAAUUCAAAAUGGAAAUGUGCAAGUCAUUGUGUAGUAAUCUAAAUUUAACUUCUGCUUUCGUAAAAUUUUCCAAAGUUAACAGUAGCAUGAAUAGUGAUCAAUCCUCAUGCUUUAUUAAGCAAAACUAAAAAGAUUUUAAAACAAAAAAAAAAUCACUUACCAAAGCAAAAAAUGCAGGCAAACGCUUGAUCUCUUUCUCUCAGUCAGUGUGUCAAUUAUGAUGAUAAUCAUGAUGACCAGUACUUUAAUUAACGAAUUGAAAUAGCAACUUUAGAUCUAAAAAUCAUGCCCAGGGUUUUUACAAGUUGCGAUAUAAAAAUGUACAUAAUCAUAAUUAAUUUCCAACUAGGAGGUUGUAAUUAACAAUCUUAUUGGACGUUUCAACUGAUCUAAUAAUGGGAGACCAGAGCAAAGUCAAAUGAAUAAUUUUAUAUAUAGCUCCAUAAUUAAUCAAUUUAAAAGAAGACCGAUUUAUAUAUUCGAAUUUUGAAAAACGUAAUUAAAAAUUUAUUGAGAUUUUAGCAUACUACAACCAUUACACGCACAAUAUUUGCAACAUAUAAAAAGGUAAUUAGGAGGUUUACCGCCACCUAUUCAGAAUUCGAACUCGGAUGACCAUCUAAAUAAAAUCAUUUGAAAACCACUCGACUACACUAUUGAGACAACAGGUAUUCAUAUAUUAUUUAUUCAAAUAAUUGAGCAUGAAGUCGAGGAGUGAGAAGGACUUGAAGUGGAGUGGCCUUUAGGUUAGUCAACCCUACUCCCUCACUCAGAUCGAGUGGUUCAGUAUCCCCCGGACCUGGAGUUGCAAAUUCAAAUCCAUGCAACAAACUAGCGAGUGUUAGUAGCAGCACUUGAAGGGCAAAAGAGAUUCCAGGGCACCCUCUUCUUCCGGAGCCAAAGGGUAUCAAUUCAAAGUUUUGUCCUCUAACAUCAAUAUCUUUGUGUGUUUUCAGAAAUCUUUCUGGUCGAAACUCAUUAGGCUCUUCCCAAACAUUUGGAUCUCGAUGAAUCUUUGCAAUGUUGACAAAAAGACGUGUGCCGGCAGGCACAUGGUAGCUGGCUAUGGUGCAGUCUUCCAUGGAUUCAUGUGGUAUAGAGAGUGGCGCAGCAGGACAUAAACGAAGAGUUUCCUUUACUAUAGCUUGUAAAUAAACUAAAUUUUUAAUAUCAGAUUCAAUCACUUGUCUUUCUCUACCAAUGUGGGUAUCUAAUUCGUUUUGGACCUUCUUCAAAACGUCAAGGUGGUUGAGUGUUAAAGUGAGAGCCCAUGUCAAUGUAAAUGUGGUGGUGUCUGUUCCUCCCAAUAUAAGAGCCUGCAUGCAAAGGCAAAGAACCAUGCCCGGCCCCAACCCAAAGUCAAUGUGAUUAUAAUGAAUGCAAAUACAAUAAAAUAUAGAAAUACAACCUAAAAUAAUACCGUGACUAAUUCAGUAAUGUGUCUUUUGAAUGUAACCUUUUUUUUUUUUUUUUGAUAAGGUCUUUUGAAUGUAACCUAAUAUUGAACAGUUGGAAAAAUCUUGGGUGAUUCGGUUUUCUUCAUUAGCUUUUUUCUUUAUGUGUCUUUCAAUUAAUUAUGAAAAUGUUCAUUCCGUUCCGGAAAAAAUAUUCUGAAUUAAAGUACUAUAGAAAAAAUGUGACUACAAUUUUUUGUAUCUAAUAGUAUAAAUUUAUAUAUGUAUGGACUACGACCUUUGGAUGGUUCCUUGUUCAAUAUUGAAAAUGUGAUAAAUCAUGUUCAACCGCCCGCAGAAACUUUAUAAAAGAUUUUAUACAUUAUAAAGCCUUCAUAAUAUUCUAAAAUAUUUUACAAUGUUGUCAUUGUGCGCGCCCGAACCUGACUCAAUCAAGAAGUGAUUUCUUAGGCAUAUAUUACACACUAUUAAUUGUGUCUAAUUAAACUAAGAGUAAUGAUACAGCCACAAACUCUUGUACAAACUUAUUUUGUACAAACUGAUGUGGCAUGAUAAGAUUGGUUGAAUUAAAUAUCACUUGGCCCACAUGAUUUGUUUUUAUUAAUUUAUAUUUUCAUUCAACCAAUCUUAUCAUGCCACGUCAGUUUGUACAAAAUAAGUUUGUACAAGAGUUUGUGGCUGUAUCAUUACUCUUAAACUAAAUUUUGUUAAUACGUACAAACACAUAUACAUAUACAUAUAUAAUUCUCUAAUGAGGAUAUCGUUAUUUUAGCAAAGUAAAGAUGUCAUUAACAGAUUAAAAUAUAUAUUUUAAUAUACUAACAAAUAAAAAAUAAUAAUCUCUAAUGUAUUAAAAUCUAUAUAUUUUUUUAUAUUUUAGUGUGCAACCUUAUUAGAUAUAUAAGAACUCUGUAUAUACACACACAUACCAGGCACGUAGCUUUGGUGAUUGUAUCGGCAUCAAAACUAGGAAGCUCUUCAGCGUCAGCAAGAGCUGAUAGCAUCACGUCCAUGAAGUCGUUCUCUUCCUUGACCACCUGAUCAUCGCUUGAAAUCCUCUUCUGCUUAUGCUCUUCUAACCAGCCUUCAAGAAUUUGGUCAAGCUCUUUCGCUGUCCUCUUCAUGCUCUUCUCAAUUCCAUCGAGAUCUAACCACCUCAAAAAUGGAACGGAAUCAGCAAUUGCAAAAGCCCCGGUUAAUUCCAUUAAUUUUCUUAUUGCCUUUCGACAUCGAUUAUUCUCUUCAUCAAUCUCUUGAUGAUUUGUUGUACCUCCUCGGACAAGUCUUUUCCCCACAACCAUUCUUGUGGCGACAUUAAAGGUCAGUGCGUUAAAUAUUUCCUUCAUCUCAACCAACGCCUUGCCAGAAUCACCUCUGAGCUUCAUCCAUUCAUCGUAUAGUUCUUUCAUGGACGUUCUCACCUCAGAUUCUCGGACGUGUUUGAGCAUUUCCAGGCGGUGAUUUGAGAGAAUCUCCAGUGUGGCAAUCUUCCGGAUUUGGCGCCAGUAAGGACCAUAAGGGCUGAAGCCAAACAUGGCGUAGUUGUAGCCCAAGAUCUCUGGUGCUAGAGCUUUUAUGCGGUUGCAAAAGACUUUAUCAUUUGUAGUGAAGCACUCUUUAGCAAUCUCCCAGUUGCUAACAAUCAAAGCUCUAUGCA
rnacentral:lncRNA from 1 species